rnacentral:lncRNA from 1 species
UUGCUCGACUGCAUUAUCCUCGCCCUGUGUCUUGUUUCCUCUCUUUAUUGGAGCUAGGCUCUCCUUGUAAUUGAAAACCCAACAGCCAGCAAUGUUAAGGUCCAGCUGAAAUCCAAGAUCUGUAACUUGUCUUGUUGUAGGGUCAUAUAGCACCAGCUGUGAAGUUUCUGUGAUCUCAAAAACCAUGUUAUCGUUAUCCCAGAUGUUGCGAGGCCAAUGAGCAUCUAUAUGAGGUUGUACAGUUAGAACUUUGGACCAAAUUCCCUCUUGUUCAUACCCACACAUCAUAUAUGGAUGUCAUAGGUUUGCCAGGGUCACCGGUUAAUAAAGCAAGUGAGUUGCCACGCAAUGUAAGCGUCCCCCAAUGUUCACUUGGAAUAUCUGGGACUUGCAUCUCCCUAAACUGUUCGCUGCCCAUGUCAAAAGAGCGAAUCGUGUAGAUCUCAUCAAGGCCCCUAGAAAGCCAAUAAUAAACCCCGUUGAGAUAAGUGGCAUCAAGGGGUGCAGAUAAGGUAGAACUGGAAGGGAAUUCAGGAGUUAGGUGUUUCCAUGAGUUGUUGCAUGAGGAAUAAACACAGGCAUAGACACGAGGACAAACACCUUGUCCCGGUUCAUCCCAGAAUACUCGAAUCCAUACAACCUUAUAAUCUUGAGUCAACAGGUCAAAUCCCAAUCCGAACUGAUGAUCAUGGUCCGAGAAAAAGUACUCAAUCUCAAAAGGCGCAGGCGGCAGAGACCUGAACUCUCUGGUGGCAGGAUUCCACAAACCCAAGCAGACAUUGUCUCCAUAAAACUUCUUCUGCACUAAGAAUAAGCCAUCAACUGGACCAGCAACACACGUGAAAUCAGCGACCCUCGGAAGCUGAAGGAGAGUUUUUUGUUCAGGGGUCACACCUGGAACAAUUUCUUCAGGGAGCAAGGAGAAUACAACAGACCUUACGAUGGCGUCUACUUCACGUGCUACUUUCAAGUUGCAAACAAGGAGACGGGCACGAUUGUUCUUGUGAUGAAAAUGUUUUUCUAUGAAACUCGGACUUUUGAUGAGAGCAUACCAGUGCUUGCACACACAUUUGAAAAGCAAGAGUGAUUCCACUGGCAAUCUCAAUAGAAUAUCAACUACUAGAUCUUCUGGUAAAGGACAGCGACCAUCCAUACUGGUGGAAAUAUAAGUAGAAUGAGGCAACUUACAAACAUAUUGAAAGAGAGCAGAUCUAGAAAACAUGCAUUAAUAGAACACACAGUGCAACAAAAAAGAUCAAGUAGUAGCAUUACCAUGUGAAGCAAAAAAGGGGAAGUUACAAAUUUGACCACUCAGCCACAAAUAUUUACAUCCGCAAGCCAUUACACAUAUAUUAUGGGUAUACAUAUUUUUAAAAAUAUUUUGACAAAUCUUCUUGUAGAUCAAUUUUGGAGAAAAGAUCCAAAAUAGUUCCUUAUGUUUGGCUUCAGACUCAAGGUCAUCCCUUCCCUUUCUUUUAUAUGGUGCACUAAUAGUCCUUUAAGUUUCAAGUAUUAGUGCACUUUUAAUCUCUUCAUUAACAUCCAUUUACUCAUUAACGUUUUGAUCCUUUACACAUCCAUUUAUGGCCUCCGCUGUAUACGUUCUGGUAUAACACAAAUUAAUUCUUAGAUUUAUCUUAGCAGUUGCAGAUGAGUCUUCAUUUGUACUUGUUUUAUUUUUUGGCUCUGCAUCUUUCAUUGUUUGGUGUGCACCAUUCAAGAUUUGCUAAUUCUUUAACUUUCUCCUCUAUUUUCCAUACGCAAUUAAUAAGCUGACUAUAAGUCUUUGGGUUUUCCUGAAUAAAAGCUGACUAUAUAUCUGAAACAUAACCAAAGAAUAAAAUAAAAACAAGAAAAAAGGAAAAAUAUAAUACAUACUUAGUCUUCGUGUAUCAAUAUCUCAAAUUAGCAUCGGAUAAAAGUGCACUAAUACUUAAAACUUUGGAGGACUAUUAGUGCACCAAUUGAUGAUUUCGAAUCUAAAGCCAAAAAUAAAGGACUAUCUUGUAUUUUUUCUUUCGAUUUGGGCUGAUAUGGUUUGGACGGAUCAAUAAUCAGCCAAAUAGAGUCAAUAAGAGGAGACUAGUAAAGAAGUAGUCAUGCGGUUUUCUAGUCUUUUCAUUAACUAGUCAAUAAUUAUUUUUAAAGCUACAUAUCAAGUUAGCAUAUAGAGCAAUUUUGCAGGUAAUUUAAGGAUUAAGGAGCAUGAAACAGUAAUUACCCUUUUCUACUAAUAUCAAUCUACAAAUCCUUGGAAAUGGAACAAUUUUAACUUGCCCAAUAUUGAAAUGUAAAAGAUGGAAAGAAAUAAAAAGAAUUAGCAUAAACAGAAACAAUGACAGCAAAACCCUAUAUCCAUCCCCAAAUAGCACAAAUUCAGAUUCAGAUUCAGAUUCAAAUUCAAAAAAAUAAUCAGAAAUCUAACCUUAUAAGCUGAUGAAGAAGAAGUGCCGCAAUUACGACAAGGUAAAAAUGGAAAAAGAGAUUGGAUUGAUUGAGUGGUGUUGUAGAAAUACCUCCAACAGUUGACUACUUCCUCACUUUCCUACACUUCUUUUGUCAUUUUAGUUUAUAUAACUCCCCUUAAUUCCUUUUAUCCAAGUUUUUAAUACCAAGGGAUAUGAUGGAGUAAUAAGUACUUAUUCAUUGUUAAUUAGAGGUCUUGGAUUUGAAUCUUUUGGCUAUGAAGUCAUCCGUGUUAGGGAGCACUUUACCCAUAAUGUGAGAUUUUUCGACUGGGCUCUAAUAUGGAUACCGAACAUUGAGCGAUUUUUCUUUUUUUACCUUAGUGGUCAUUUGGUAGGUGGAUAAAGCUACAUCUAAUACAUGAAUCACUACAAGAAAAGUGCUGAUUACCUGGGAAUUAUUGUAGAGAAUAUAUGAUAACCCUAAUGGGUGGAGGGAGGACCAAUUUAUAGAGGUUAUGAUUUAAUCUGGUAUAUCCAUCAAGUAACCAAUGUACGGACGAGAUCUAUUCCUUAUUAAAUAUUAUUUAUGGUAUUACUUGCGUUACUAGUAAACUUGAGCCAUAAGUAAGAAAUAAUUAAUAAUAAUUAAUAAUAAUUCUUACACUUCGGGGUGCCUUCGCCAUAGUUCAAGUCUGGAGUCGGCCAUUUCAGUUCUUGAAAGCUUUUAAUCUAGCUAGUGUUAUUCAUAGUACUUCCGUGUACUUAUCGACCUUAUGUGAGUCCAAACUCGUUUGAGUUAUACAUUUACUUUCUAAUUGUGCACGAGUAUACAUACUUUCUAGGCUUAUAGAGGUCCAGUUAGGUUAUAGAUUAUUGCUUUACUUUACUACUUCGUUCUUUUCAGACUCGUGAGCUAUAUAGUUAGACUUUCCGUUAUUGCUUUGUUCAUUUGACCUCUAAUUACUGUUACUUUCAUAUUCUUCAUAUUGUUUUUACUUUCCAAGUUCAGUUGACCUAUGAUGCCUACUGGACACCUGUUGUUCUGAUAUUCAUGCUACACUCCACAUCUGUUUUCUUGAUGUGGAUUUGAGCGCCAGCCGACAACGGUGAUUGGAGCCUAAGUAAUGCGGAGAUCUUCUGAGAUGAAUGGUGAGCUAAUGGCGUCCUAGUUCGACUUAUCUCCAUAUGUAUAUAAUUUUUUACAUGUCUUUUGUAUUCGAGACAAAUUUAUUAAGUUAGUCAAUAGCAUAGGCUCGAAACUAUGACUAGAACAUUGAGUGCAUGACAUGCACAUCUUACUCCUUACUUUCCUUAUUCGUGCCUGUUUUUUUCAUACUUUCUAACUUUCACUAGUACAUUAUCCCUUGUUAAGGAAAAUUAUGUAAACAAAAUAGUAAAUGGCCUGAUCCACUUAAGAGUGAGGGCUAGUUCAUUGAUUGAUACAGCUAAAUCACAUUAAAUAAUAAAUACGGAGGAGGGCCUAAAAUACCCUUCAAGUAUAGGUAAUGGAACAAAAAUACCCUCUUCCACCUUUAGGCUCCAAAAUACCCUUCCAUCCAUCUAUAUGGACCUAUAUUACCCUUUCACUUAACAGAUUCUUUAAGACUAAUAAUUAAUCUUUUCAUUAAUGAUGUGACAGUCUUUAAUUGGUUGAAAUUGGAAUUAACCAAAAUAAGAAUUUCUCUUAAUUAAACCCAGAUCCAACUAAAUUCCACCCGACUCACUUAAAAUUCUAUUGACCCAUAUCUUAAAUAAUCAAACUUCAAUCAACAACUUGCUCCAGUUAUUUUUAAUCCCAGUCAAAAAAGAGGUACAUUAGACCAUAAACAACAUGAAACUUCCGAAAAUUCCCUGGAAACAUUCCAAGAAGGAAGAAGUGAAAUACAAGAUCAAGUGCCACUAUAAUCAUAUACCAAUAUACACCAUAUUUUGAAACACUAUGAAAAGUCCAGCAAAUCUCCAAUCUCUGGGAAACAUAAACUCAAAGCGGUAAAAUUUCUCAAAAUCCGAAACCCUAGAGUUCAAAAAUUAUUUCACUUCUUUCUUUUUUGCGAUUCAUAUAAAGCACCGCACGCAAAAAGCAAAACCAACAUAAUUUUGGGAAAUUCUCAAAGCAGAAUCAUGGAAUAGAAUAUAAAAAAAAAAUAAAAAAUUUAGCCAUAGCAAGAGAUUAUAUACUUGAUGAAGAAAAGCGAUAGAUAUCGCUUUUCUUCAUCUGCAAAUUUUACGAGAAAAUUAUAUGGAGAGAAAUUCAGUGUACAGAGAAAAAAAAGGAAACUCACCGCUACACACUCGAUUCUUCUUGUUUUUUUUUAAAGAUAUGGGUCAGUAAAAUUUUACGUGGGUUGGGUAGAGUUUAGUUGGAUCCGGGUUUGAUUUGGAGAAAUUAUUGUUUUUGCUUAAUCUAAAUUCCAGCCAAUUAAAGAUUGUCACAUCAUUAAUGAAAAGAUUAAUUAUUACUCAUAAAAAAUCUGUUAAGUGAAAGGGUAAUAUAGGUCCAUAUAGAUGGAUGAAAGGGUAUUUUUGAGCCCAAAGGUGGAUGGAGGGUAUUUUUGUUCCAUUCCCUAUACUUGAAGGGUAUGUUAGGCCCUUCUCCGUAAUAUAUAUUACAUUUUUGAACUGUUAAACUAGAAACAAGAUUUAGGAUUUUUCAAGUGGACCAAAAUACAGAUAUUGAUGCCGAGUACUUAAAGUCUGUUGCUUGCCGAUACUCUAAAAGUAGUAGUGUAUUUUUGGAGAAUCUAACAUGAGUGGAGAGUACACGCGCAACUUAGCUUAAAUUGUGUUGGUCCAAAAGGAAUGCCCCUUGAUACCAUAAACAAAAAAUACCAUGUCAGCUUUUUAUUCAAUAAUAGUACAAAGAUGACUGAUCCAAACAAUUUUAAGCUCAAACACAAUGUUAUAAGAAGACAAGAUACGAACUAAUGUCACAAUAUUACAGGUAAAUCGUUUUUUUUUCUUCCUGUUUUUCAAUUAUUAUCAUUAUAGUAUUUUGUAUUCCAAAUCUUAACGAUACUCAUCCAUUGGUAUGGUAUAGAAGAAGUGUUCAAUUUGCUCGACCUCGCCCUGUGUCUCGUUUCCUCUCUUUAUUGGAGCUAGGCUCUCCUUGUAAUUGAAAACCCAACAGCCAGCAAUGUUAAGGUCCAGGUGAAAUCCAAGAUCUGUAACUUGUCUUGUUUUAGGGUCAUAUCGCACCAGCUGUGAAGUUUCUGUGAUCUCGAAAACCAUCUUAUCAUUAUCCAAGAUGUUGCGAGGCCAAUGAGCAUCUAUAUGAGGUUGUACAGUUAGAACUUUGGACCAAUUUCUGUCUUGUUUCAUUACCCACACAUCGUAUAUGGAUGUCAUUGGUUUACCAGGGUCUCCGGUUAACAUAGCAAGUGAGCCGCCAUGCAAUGUAAGUGUCCCCCAAUGUUCACUUGGAAUAUCUGGGACUUGCAUCUCCCCAAACUGUUCGCUGCCCAUGUCAAAAGAGCGAAUCGUGUAGAUCUCAUCAAGGCCCCUACAAAGCCAAUAAUAAACCCCGUUGAGAUAAGUGGCGUCAAGGGGUGCAGAUAAGGUAGAACUGGGAGGGAAUUCAGGAGUAAGGUAUUUCCAUGAAUUGUUGCAUGAGGAAUAGACACAGGCAUAGACACGAUUAUUAGCACCUUGUCCCAGUUCAUCCCAGAACACUCGAAUCCAUACAACCUUAUAAUCUAGAGUCAACAGGUCAAAUCCCAAUCCGAACUGAUGAUCAUGGUCCGAGAAAAAGUACUCAAUCACAAAAGGCGCAGGAGGCAGAGACCUGAACUCUCUGGUGGCAGGAUUCCACAAACCCAAGCAGACAUUGUAUCCAUAAAACUUCUUCUGCACUAAGAAUAAGCCAUUAACUGGACCAGCAACACACGUGAAAUCAGUGAUCCGAAGCUGAAGGAGAGUUUUUUGUUCAGGGGUCACACCUGGAACAAUUUCUUCAGGGAGCAAGGAGAAUACAACAGACCUUACGAUGGGGUGUACACGUGCUACUUUCAAGAUGCAAACAAGGAGGCGGGCACAAUUAUUCUUGUGAUGAAAAUGUUUUUCUAUGAAACUCGGACUUUUGAUGAGAGCAUACCAGUGCUUGCACACACAUUUGAAACGCAAGAGUGAUUCCACUGGCAAUCUCAAUAGAAUAUCAACUACUAGAUCUUCUGGUAAAGGACGGCGACCAUCCAUACUGGUGGAAAUAUAAGUAGAAUGAGGCAACUUACAAACAUAUUGAAAUAGAAUAGAUCUAGAAAACAUGCAUUAAUAGAACACACAGUGCAACGAAGAAGAUCAAGCAGCAGCAUUACCAAUGUGAAGCAAAAAAGGGGAAGUUACACAUUUGACCACUCGGCCACAAAUAUUUAUAUCCGCAAGCCAAUACACAUAUUAUGGGUAAACAUAUUUUUAAAAAUAUUUUGACAAAAUUUCUUGUAGAUCAAUUUGGGAGAAAAGAUCCAAAAUAGUUCUUUAUGUUUGGCUUCAGACUCAAAGUCAUCCCUUCCCUUUCUUUUAUAUGGUGCACUAAUAGUCCUUUAAGUUUCAAGUGUUAGUGCACUUCUAGUCUCUUGAUUAACAUCCAUUUACUCAUUAACGUUUUGAUCCUUUACACAUCCAUUUAUGGCCUCCGCUGUAUACAUUCUGGUACAAAACAAAUUAAUUCUUAGAUUUAUCUUAGCAAUUGCAGAUGAGUCUUCAUUUGUACUUCGUUUUAUAUUUUGGCUCUGCAUCUUUCAUUGUUUGGUGUGCAGUAUUCAAGAUUUGCUAAUUCUUUAACUUUCUCCUUUAUUUUCGAUACACAAUUAAUAAGCUGACUAAGUCUUUGGGUUUUUCCUGAAUAAAAGUUUCUUGCGCUUUGCCUAUAUAUCUGGAGCAUAACCAAAGAAUAAAUAAAAACAAGAAAAAAGGAAAAAUAUAAUACAUACUUAGUCUUCGUGUAUCAAUAUCUCAAAUUAGCAUCGGAUAAAGGGUGUGUUCCGUAGAAAAUAGUUUCUAAUCAAAAUUUUUGGAAAAGAUUUUCUUAGGAAAACAAGUUCCAUACGUGACACUUCAAAAUUCAAAUGAAGAAAAUGACUUUCUAAAGGAAGUAGGGAAAACAAGUUUCAUAUGUGACAUUUCAAUUGAGUAUGUCCUCCCACUCUCUAAGACACCACAUAUUCACCUCACUCCCGUAGCUUCCAUACCCACUACCCUACACAUCUACCCCACCUCCGUCCCUCAUAGUAUUGUCUAGAUAAUACAUAAAUGCUUUUAGAAUAAUAUUAAAUUUUUUUUGCUUAUAUACCAAACACAAAAUAUACAUAAGAAUCUCACUUAUUUUCCUAGAAAAUAUUUUUCAAAAAAUAUUUUCCUUGGUACCGUACACACCCAAAGUUCCAAUGUCCUCGGAUAAUAUCAGCCAAAUAGAGUCAAUAAGAGGAGACUAGUAAAGAAGUAGUCAUGUGGUUUUCUAGUCUUUUCAUUAACUAGUCAAUAAUUAUUUUUGAGCUACAAAUCAAAUUAGCAUAUAGAGCAAUUUUGCAGGUAAUUUAAGGAGCAUGAAACAGUAAAUACCCUUUUCUGCUAAUAUCAAUCUACAAAUCCUUGGAAAUGGAACAAUUUUAACUUACCCAAUAUUGAAAUGUAAAAGAUGGAAAGAAGUAAAAAGAAUUAGCAUAAACAGAAACAAUGGCAGCAAAACCCUAUAUCCAUCCCCAAACAGCACAAAUUCAGAUUCAGAUUCAAAUUCAAAAUAAUAAUCAGAAAUCUAACCUUAUAAGCUGAUGAAGAAGAAGUGGCGGACAAGGAAAAAAUGGAAAAAGAGAUAUCGGAUCGAUUGAUUGGUGUUGUAGAAAUACCUCAACAGUUGACUACUUCCUCACACUUCUUUCGUCAUUUUAUUUUACUACUUCUUGGGAACGCGUUUGUUCCUCUCCUUUUUUUUUCUCGCGUGUGUUCCUUAUUAUUAUUAAAUUUUUAUAUACUAAAAAGUUGAGUUAUAAAAUAGAAAAUGCUGAAAUUAACAAUAGUAGUUUUAUCAUUUAUAUUUUAUUUACUAAAUAAUAAAAAAUAUAUACUGGAGCAUUUUUUGUUAACCUUCAUUUGUUGUUUCUCACUCUCUUUUCUUCUCAUGUUGAAAUUUGAUUGUGCAAUUACCUUCCUAUGAUAACAUCAAUCUUUGUGAAAUUGGUUCUUAAAAAGCAAAUUCAAAUUUUAAUUUUGGAAGUGUUUUUACAUAAUAGUGGAGAAUGAUUCUUCAUAUUCAACUUUUAAUUUUGAAUUGUAAUGAACAAUUACUAUUCAAAUACAAAUCUAGUUUAUUUUUAACCUUACAUUUAUUGAAUCUUUAAUGUGUACGUUAAUGAUAUAUAAUAAUUUAUUAAUUAGGUAUUUGAUUUAGUGUAGGGGCAAAAUGGUAAUUCAACUAUACACUUUCGAGUUUUCACUUUUAAUAAGUAAUUAUAAUAUAUACAAAAGAUUAAACCAUUUGAUAUUAAAAAAAUAUAUGUAUGAGUAAUAAUUAACAUUCAAUGGCAAAAGAAUGUAUCACAUUCUCAUAAACAAUAUCUCUAAGGCAAAAGUAGACAUUCUAAUUUGGACAAUUACUACUUAACUACUUAUGGGUUCAGCCAAUAAUCUGGAGAUAGGAGUUUGACAAUUUUUCAGCCAUAGUUAAAAUUCUACAUCAAUAAUAAAUAGCUUCUUAUCACAGUAAAUAGACAUUUGAAUAAUUAAUAUAAAUUGAGCAACACAAACUUUUCAAAAUGACUUAUUCUAGAUAUAUAAUAGGGAAAAGGGUCAAAAUUACCCCUCAGUUUUGUUUUAUUGGUUAACUUUAUCCUUACCAUUAAAAACAAGUUAUUUUUACCCCUGUCGUCAAUAAACUUAACAAAUAUACCCCUCCUUGAACGGAAACCCCCAAAUCAAUUGAAAUUACCCGAUUUUAAUUGAAAUUAUCCAAUUUCUUUUUUAACCCGAACUAGAACCCAACCCACUAAACUAAACAAAUUAACCCAUUUCCAAUCUUCUUCAUCUCAGUGUUCUUGGCUAAGUACCCUAAGAACACUCACAAUCUUUAUCAUAGCUAACACAUAAAUCCUACAUUGUCUGACAAAAUCAAUUGAAAAGGUUCGUUGGUUGAAUGUAUAACAAGUAAAUUAUUUUUGCUGAACAACAUCCCGCCUCUCUCUGUUGUGGGGUUCAGCGAAGAACAAGCCACAGAGCAAGUAAAUGGAAAAGUUUCAAUUUACACAUCAUCAUUCAAUCCAAUGAAGAAAACCAUUUCUAGGUACCAACCAAAUUACUUUUUGAUUUGUUGUCAGUAGGCUGCCCCUAAAUGUGUACCCAAUAGUACAUCUAAUUCUUCUUUACCUGGCUCGUAAAUCAAUUCAGUGGCCCUCCAUGAUUCUUGUAUGUGCACGUAAAAUUAAGCUACAAUGGAGGGGAGGUUUUUCUUUUCUCUAUCUUUUUAUUUGUUCAAAAUGUUUCCAAUAUAUCAUCAUAUUUGAUGAGUACUGGAUAUUUGAUGAUUACUGAUUUCUUGUAUGUAGCAAAUCAUGUGAUUGAACGACUGCAGUGUUUAGCCUAGGCAACCUUCAACAAACAAUUUGGAGAUAAAUAUCAGGUCUUUUCGAUUGAUUUUGUUAGACAAUGUAGAAUUUGUGUUAGCUAUGAUAAAGAUUGUGAGUGUUCUUAGGGUACUUAGCCAUGAACACUGAGAUGAAGAAGAUUGGAAAUGGGUUUAUUUGUUUAGUUUAGUGGGUUGGGUUCUGGUUCAGGUUAAAAAAGAAAUUGGAUAAUUUCAAUUAAAAUUGAAUAAUUUCAAUUGAUUUGGGGAUUUCCGUCCAAGGAGGGAUAUAUUUGUUAAGUUUAUUGACGGCAGGGGUAAAAAUAACUUGCUUUUAACGGUAAGAGUAAAAUCAACCAAUAAAAUAAAGUUGAUGGGUAAUUUUGACCCUUUUCUCUAUAUAACAUAUAUGGACAAUUUGAGGAAUGAAUGUUUCAACACAUGAAUAAUAGACUAAUAAGGUCAAUAGAUUAUACAUAUAAAUGAAAAGUUAAAUAAAAAUACAGCCUCAAAAUCACAUACUAUGAUCCAUCAUUUAUCUCCAAUUCGGUGGCCCAGUUUAUUUUAGGGUAUGGAUUCUUUUAUUUUUAAAAAAAAAACAUAUUUGAUUUUUCUCAUUUAGUUAUUCCUCUCCCUACUCAUAAAUAAUAAUCUCGAAAAAAUAUUUUUACUAAAGUAGAACACUCUAUCAAGAGCCAAAUAAACAUAUCAAAUUAACUAAUUAAUCUUUCAUCAAUUAUUGAUAGAACAUGAAUUGUAUAUCACUACUUUCUUCAUGUAGGAUACAAGAUAUUUCAAUAGAAAAACAAAAUCAUAAGAAAGCAUAUCAAAAUAUAAAAAAAGGACAUAUAAAAUACUUUGGCUGGACAAGGAGGAGCGGAUAAAAACAAAAGGAAAUUACUGCACAUACAAAAUGAUGAGCAAGAUUAGUUUUUUGCAGGAUAGUCUCUCAUCCUCCUCUUAUCAUUUACAUGAAAACCAUGCUAGGCAUUUUAUAGCAAUAGCUAGGAUGACCUUUGAGUAGAUAAUUAAUUUGCAUUAAUUUAGUUUAAUGAUUUUAGUCCAUAUCAAAUUUAUUUAAUGGAAAACUCUUCAAAUACUCUUGAUUUUACAGAAAAAGAGAAAUUGACUAUUAAUGUGAAUUUGAUUCAUGUACCAAUUUAAAUGAGUUUAAUCUAAGGAAGUGAAAAAAUCAUUAACAUUUUUAUUAAAACGAUACAAUUUAAUAUUUAAAUUAAAUAGUUAAAUAUUUUAUAACAUUUUAAUUUAUAAUAGGGGUAAAACGGUAAUUCAACUUUUAACUUUUUUUAUUCCCGCUUAUAGUAAUAUAUGAUACAACUCCUCUUAAUUCCUUUUAUCUAAGUUUUUAAUUAUGUGGUGGAGUAAUAAGUACUUAUUCAUUCUUAAUUAGAGGUUCCAGUUUGAGUCUUUUUGGCUAUAAAAUCAUCUCUGUUAGAGCGCUUUACCCAUAAUCUAAGAUUUUUCGACACAAAUUCAAAUUUAGUGAGGCUCUAAUAUGGAUAUCGAACACUGAGGGGAAAAUAAAAAUAAAAAUUACCUUAGGGGUUAUUUGGUAGGUGGAUAAAGCUACAUCUAAUACAUGAAUAACAAAGUUAUUUAUGUAUUUAAUUUAUAUAAUGUUUGUAUAAAAGUUAUUCAUAUAUUAACAAAGAUGUUUCUCUCUACGAUAUGUUCCCACAGGAGAAAGAGUUUGUUACUUGAAGAGGGGGGGGGGGGAUGUUGNNNNNNNNNNNNNNNNNNNNNNNNNNNNNNNNNNNNNNNNNNNNNNNNNNNNNNNNNNNNNNNNNNNNNNNNNNNNNNNNNNNNNNNNNNGAAGGGGGGGGGGGGGUAUUUGGAGUCUUUUAGCCACAGUUCGAAGCCCUGACAUAUCGAUCUCUUUUAGCCACGGUUCAAGGUCCCAACGUAUUUUGUUUUGCCACGGUUCAAGGUCCCGACGUAUUUUAUUUUGCCACGGUUCGAGGCCCCAUCAUAUCUCUAUUCGCCUUGGUUCGAAUCCUAACAUGUGGUUCAUUUGGGUUCUUCGGGGUGCCUUCACCAAAGUUCAAGUCUAGAGUCAGCCAUUUUAAGUUCUUGAAAGCUUUUAAUAUAACUAGUGUUAUUCAUAGUACUUCUGUGUACUUAUCAGGCUUAUGUGAGUCCAAACUCGUUUGAGUUAUUUACUUUCCAAUUGCGCACAGGUAUACAUACUUUCUGGGCUUAUAGGGGUCCAGUUAGGUUAUAGAUAAUUGUUUUACUUUACUACUUUGUUCUUUCCAGACUCGUGAGCUAUAUAGUUAGACUUUCCGUUAUUACUUUGUUCAUUUGACCUCUAAUUACCGUUACAUUCAUAUUUUUCAUAUUGUUUUUACUUUCCAUGCCCAGUCGACCUAUGAUGCUACUGGGCACCUGUUGUUUUGAUAUUAUGCUACACUCCACAUCUGUUUUCUUGAUGUAGAUUUGAGCGCCAGCUGAUAAUGGUGAUUCGAGCCUAAGAAAUGCGGAGAUCUUCUGAGAUGAAGGGUGAGCUGAUGGCAUCCUAGUUCGACUUAUCUCCAUAUGUAUAUAGUUUUUUAAUGUCUUUUGUAUUCGAGACAAGUCUAUUAAGUUAGUGAAUAGCAUAGGCUCGAAACUAUGACUAGAACAUUGAGUGCAUGACAUGCACAUCUUACUCCUUAUUUUCCCUAUUCGUACCUGUUUUUUUCAUACUUUCUAACUUCACUGGUACAUUAUUCCUUGUUAAGGAAAAUUAUGUAAACAACUAGUUCUUUGAUUGAUACAACUAAUUCACAUUAAAUAAUAACUAGAAUCUUAUUACAUUUUUGAACUGUUAAACUAGAAACAAGAUUUAGGAUAAGGGAACUAUUUAUUAACUUCACUUCUCCUUAUUAGUGUCAAAAGUUUCUCGUUUAGGAAAUAUGAAGUUUUGAAGGACUAAUAGUAUAUUAUCCUUUUUUAAAAUUGAACUCUAUCCAAUGGUUGAUUCUAUUUAUGAAUCAAUUCCUUAGGUGCAUUAUUUCCAUAGGUUUCAACAUUGGUAACAAAAUCUAGCUUUCUCGCUUAAAUUGACAUAUUUCUAUACUUCCCUCAUCUUAUCUAUCACUGAGGCCGCUCCCAUCUUAUCCCUUAUAUCCUUAUUUAUAAUUUUUAUCGCUCCGAGUAUGAACGUGCAUCCACCUCAAUAUAUAUUCACAUCUCUGCAACAUGCAUCUUCUAGACAUGGGACUUGACUGGCCAACUCUCAUUUCCAUACAACAAUUACAUACACACUCUAUAUAAAUACACACAUACAUAUAUUGAUGGAAAAAUCAUCAACAGAUGAAACUUAAGCAAUACUCCCUCCAUCUCAAUUAAUGUGACAGUCGGAAUUUUGUCUUUUAAAUUGUUAAUUAUUGUGAUUUACCAUUUUUCACAUAAUUUUCAAAUACAUAAAUUUUAUAUCAAAAAAACUUAAAGUUUCUGUAUCCGAAUUUACUAUUAAAUUAUAGAAGUUUGAAUCUCAAAAUUUCAACUAAUGCCACAUAAAUUAAAUCAACUCCAACACUCAGAAAAGCUACAAAAGUUCAAACAUAGAAAGUAAAAAAAAAUUUAAAAAAGAAAUAGAAAAAACCUUGAGAUAAUAUGUCUUGCUAAUUUCCUCUUCAGAUGCUAAUUAAAGGACUUACACCAAGAACAUCAUAAUACUCUGUGUCUUUCACCAUUUUCUUUUCUUUUUCCAAAAUCCCUAUUAACAAAAAAUUUACUCUUUUACCUCCUCCAAUACUCUAAUUACCUUUUUUUUCGCGCUUCUAAAAUCUUAAUACAAGAGCGAAAAACCACUUGAGUGUAAGGAAAGGAAACAAGCCAAACGAAAAAAAAAAAAAAAACUCUCAAAAUUAUAUGAUCAAGAAAACUUGCAAGUACAAAAGGAGAAAGAGGAGGGGGUGGGUGGGGUAUGAUGAAAAGAAUGUCUCAGAAUAAGAGAGUGCCCCAACGAGACAAAGCUGCCUUUCCAGUUCUGAUCAACAAAUUAAUUACGGAAAAUCUGUUGCUUGUCGAUACUCUAAAAGCAGUGUAUUUUUGGAAUUAAGAGGAGUUGUAUAAACUAAAAUGACAAAAGAAGUGUAGGAAAGUGAGGAAGUAGUCAACUGUUGAGGUAUUUCAACAACACCACUCAAUCAAUCCAAUAUCUCUUUUUCCAUUUUUACCUUGUCGUAAUUGCGGCACUUCUUCUUCAUCAGCUUAUAAGGUUAGAUUUCUGAUUAUUUUUUUGAAUCUGAAUCUGAAUCUGAAUUUGUGCUAUUUGGGGAUGGAUAUAGGGUUUUGCUGCCAUUGUUUCUGUUUAUGCUAAUUUUUUUUAUUUCUUUCCAUCUUUUACAUUUCAAUAUUGGGUAAGUUAAAAUUGUUUCUUUUCCAAGGAUUUGUAUAUUGAUAUUAGUAGAAAAGGGUAAUUACUGUUUCAUGCUCCUUAAAUUACCUGCAAAAUUGUUCUAUAUGCUAACUUGAUAUGUAGCUCAAAAAUACCUAUUGACUAGUUAAUGAAAAGUCUAGAAAACCACAUGACUACUUCUUUACUAGUCUCCUCUUAUUGACUCUAUUUGGCUGAUUAUUGAUCCGUCCAACCCAUUUCAACCCAAAUCGAAAGAAAAAAUCCAAGAUAGUCCUUUAUUUUUGGCUUUAGAUUCGAAAUCAUCAAUUGAUGCACUAAUAGUCCUCCAAAGUUUUAAGUAUUAGUGCACUUUUAUCUGAUGCUAAUUUGAGAUAUUGAUACACGAAGACUAAGUAUGUAUUAUAUUUUUCCUUUUUUCUUGUUUUUAUUUUAUUCUUUGGUUAUGCUCCAGAUAUAUAGGCAAAGCACAAGAAACUUUUAUUCCGGAAAAACCCAAAGACUUAUAGUCAGCUUAUUAAUUGCUUAUGGAAAAUAGAAGAGAAAGUUAAAGAAUUAGCAAAUUUUGAAUGGUGCACACCAAACAUUGAAGAUGCAGAGCCAAAAAAUAAAACAAGUACAAAUGAAGACUCAUCUGCAAUUGCUAAGAUAAAUCUAACAAUUAAUAUGUUUUGUACCAGAACGUAGACAGUGGAGGUUAUAAAUGGGUGUGUAAAGGAUCAAAACGUUAAUGAGUAAAUGGAUGUUAAUGAAGAGACUAAAAAUGCACUGACACUUGAAACUUAAAGAACUAUUAGUGCACUAUAUAAAAGAAAGGGAAGGGAUGACUUUGAGUCUGAAGCCAAACAUAAGGAACUAUUUUGAAUCUUUUCCAAACAAUGUUAAGCUCAAACACAAUGUUAUAAAAAGGUAAGAUAAGAACUAAUGUCACAAUAUUACAGGUAAAUCGUUUUUUUUUCCUGUUUUUCAAUUUUUAUCACUAUAAUAUUCUGUAUGUCAAACUCUAAGAUCCUCAUCCAUUGGUAUGGUAUAGAAGUAGUGUUCAAUUUGCUCGACUGCAUUAUCCUCACCCUGAGUCUCGUUUCCUCUCUUUAUUGGAACUAGGCUCUCCUUGUAAUUGAAAACCCAACAGCCAGAAAAGAUAAGGUCCAGCUGAAAUCCAAGAUCUGUAACUUGUCUUGUUUCAGGGUUAUAUAGCACUAGCUGUGAAGUUUCUGUGAUCUCGAAAACCAUCUUAUCGUUAUCCCAGAUGUUGUAAGGCCAAUGAGCAUCUAUAUGAGGUUGAAGAGUAAGAACUUUGGACCAAUUUCCCCCUUGUUUCAUUACCCACACAUCGUAUAUGGAUGUCAUUGGUUUGCCAGGGUCACCGGUUAAUAUAGCAAGUGAGCCGCCAUGCAAUGUAAGCUUCCCCCAAUGUUCACUUGGAAUAUCUGGGACUUGCAUCUCCCCAAACUGUUCGCUGCCCAUGUCAAAAGAGUGAAUCGUGUAGAUGUCAUCAAGGCCCAUAGAAAGCCCAUAAUAAACCCCGUUGAGAUAAGUGGCGUCAAGGGGUGCAGAUAAGGUAGAACUGGGAGGGAAUUCAGGAGUAAGGUGUUUCCAUGAAUUGUUGCAUGAGGAAUAGACAUAGGCAUAGACACGAUUAUUAGCACCUUGUCCCGGUUCAUCCCAGAACACUCGAAUCCAUACAACCUUAAAAUCUUGAGUCAACAGGUCAAAUCCCAAUCCGAACUGAUGAUCAUGGUUCGGGAAAAAGGCCUCAAUCUCAAUAGGCGCAGGAGGCAGAGACCUGAACUCUCUAGUGGCAGGAUUCCACAAACCCAAGCAGAUAUCGUCUCCAAACUUCUUCUGCACUAAGAAUAAGCGAUCAACUGGACCAGCAAGACACGUGAAAUCAGUGAUCCUCGGAAGCUGAAGGAGAGUUUUUUGUUCAGGGGUCACACCUGGAACAAUUUCUUCAGGGAGCAAGGAGAAUACAACAGACCUUACGAUGGGGAGUACUUCACAUGCUACUUUCAAGUUGCAAACAAGGAGACGGGCACAAUUGUUCUUGUGAUGAAAAUGUUUUUCUAUGAAACUCGAACUUUUGAUGAGAGCAUACUAGUGCUUGCACACACAUUUGAAACACAAGAGUGAUUCCACUGGCAAUCUCAAUAGAAUAUCAACUACUAGAUCUUUUGGUAAAGGACGGCGACCAUCCAUACUAGUGGAAAUAUAAGUAAAAUGAGACAACUUACAAACAUAUUGAAAGAGAACAGAUCUAGAAACAUGCUUUAAUAGAACACGCAGUGCAACGAAGAAGAUCAAGCAGCAUCAUUACCAUGUGAAACAAAAAAGGGGAAGUUGCACAUUUGAUCACUCAGCCACAAAUAUUUACAUCAGCAAGCCAAUACACAUAUAUUAUGGGUAUACAUAUUUUUAAAAAUAUUUUGACAAUUUCUUGUAGAUCAAUUUGGGAGAAAAGAUCCAAAAUAGUUCCUCAUGUUUGGCUUCAGACUCAAAGGAUGGAGUAAUAAGUACUUAUUCAUUGUUAAUUAGAGUUCUCGGGUUUGAGUCUUUUUGGCUAUGAAGUCAUCUGUGUUAGGGAGCGCUUUACCCACAAUGUGAGAUUAUUCAGCACAAAUUCAAAUUUAGUGGGGGAUCUAAUAUGGAUACCAAACACCGAGUGGAAAACCAAAAAUAAAAAUAAAAAUGACCUUAGGGGUCAUUUGAUAGGUGGAUAAAGCUACAUUUAAUACAUGAAUAACAAAGUUAUUUAUGUAUUUAAUUUAUAUAAUAUUUUGUUUGUAAAAUGUUGUAUAAAAGUUAUUCGUGUAUUAACAAAGAUGUUUAUCUCUACGAUAUGUUCCCGCAGGAGAAAGAGUUUGUUAUUUGAAGAGGGGGGGGGGGUAUUUGGAGUCUUUUAGCCACAGUUCGAAGCCCUGGCGUAUCUCUUUUAGCCACGGUUCAAGGCCCCAACAUAUUUUUUUGGCACGGUUCGAGGCCCCAACAUAUCUCUAUUCGCCUUGGUUUGAAUCCUAACAUGUGGUUCAUUUGGGUUCUUCGGGUGCCUUCGCCAUAAUUCAAGUCUGGAGUCGGCCAUUUCAGUUCUUGAAAGCUUUUAAUCUAGCUAAUGUUAUUCAUAGUACUUCCGUGUACUUAUCGGACUUAUGUGAGUCCAAACUUGUUUGAGUUAUAUAUUUACUUUCUAAUUGUGCACGAGUAUACAUACUUUCUGGGCUUAUAGAGGUCCAAUUAGGUUAUAGAUUAUUGCUUUACUUUACUACUUUGUUCUUUUUAGACUCGUGAGCUAUAUAGUUAGACUUUCCGUUAUUGCUUUGUUCAUUUGACCUCUAAUUAUUGUUACUUUCAUAUUCUUCAUAUUGUUUUUACUUUCCAAGCUCAGUCGACCUAUGAUGCCUACUGGGCACCUGUUGUUCUGAUAUUCAUGCUACACUCCACAUCUGCUUUCUUGAUGUAGAUUUGAGCGCCUGCCGACAACAGUGAUUCGAGCCUAAGUAAUGCGGAGAUCUUCUGAGAUGAAGGGUGACCUAAUGGCGUCCUAGUUCGACUUAUCUCCAUAUGUAUAUAAUUUUUUCCUAUCUUUUGUAUUCGAGACAAGUUUAUUAAGUUAGUCAAUAGCAUAGGCUCGAAACUAUGACUAGAACAUUGAGUGCAUGACAUGCACAUCUUACUCCUUAUUUUCCUUAUUCGUACCUAUUUUUGUUCAUACUUUCUAAAUUUCACUAGUACAUUAUCCCUUGUUAAGGAAAAUUAUGUAUCCAGAAUAGUAAAUGGUCUGAUCCACUUAAGAGUGAAGGCUAGUUCAUUGAUUGAUACAUCUAAAUCACAUUAAAUAAUAUAUAUUACAUUUUUGAACUGUUAAACUAGAAACAAGAUUUAGGAUUUUUCAAGUGGACCAAAAUACAGAUAUUGAUGCAGAGUACUUAAAGUCUGUUGCUUGCCGAUACUCUAAAAGUAGUGUAUUUUUGGAGAAUCUAACAUGAGUGGAGAGUACAUGCGCAACUUAGCUUAAAAUGUGUUGGUCCAAAAGGAAUGCCCCUUGAUACCAUAAACAAAAAAUACCAUGUUUGCUUUUUAUUCAAUAAUAGUACAAAGAUGACUGAUCCAAACAAUUUUAAGCUCAAACACAAUGUUAUAAGGUAAGAAAAGAACUAAUGUCACAAUAUUACAGGUAAAUCGUUUUUUUUCUUCUUCCUGUUUUUCAAUUUUUAUCAGUAUAAUAUUAUGUAUUACAAAUCUUUAAGAUCCUCAUCCAUUGGUAUGGUAUAGAAGAAGUGUUCAAUUUGCUCGACUGCAUUAUCCUCACCCUGAGUCUCGUUUCCUCUCUUUAUUGGAGCUAGGCUCUCCUUGUAAUUGAAAACCCAACAGCCAGCCAUGUUAAGGUCCAGCUGAAAUCCAAGAUCUGUAACUUGUCUUGUUUUAGGGUCAUAUAGCACCAGCUGUGAAGUUUCUGUGAUCUCGAAAACCAUCUUAUCGUUAUCCCAGAUGUUGCGAGGCCAAUGAGCAUCUAUAUGAGGUUGUACAGUUAGAACUUUGGACCAAAUUCCCUCUUGUUUCAAUACCCACACAUCAUAUAUGGAUGUCAUAGGUUUGCCUGGGUCACCGGUUAAUAAAGCAAGUGAGUUGCCACGCAGUGUAAGCGUCCCCCAAUGUUCACUUGGAAUAGCUGGGACUUGCGUCUCCCCAAACUGCUCGCUGUCCAUGUCAAAAGUGCGAAUCGUGUAGAUCUCAUCAAGGCCCGUACAAAGCCAAUAAUAAACACCGUUGAGAUAAGUGGCGUCAAGGGGUGCAGAUAAGGUAGAACUGGAAGGGAAUUCAGGAGUAAGGUGUUUCCAUGAAUUGUUGCAUGAGGAAUAGACACAGGCAUAGACACGAUUAUUAGCACCUUGUCCCAGUUCAUCCCAGAACACUCGAAUCCAUACGACCUUAUAAUCUAGAGUCAACAGGUCAAAUCCCAAUCCCAACUGAUGAUCAUGGUGCGAGAAAAAGGCCUCAAUCUCAAAAGGCGCAGGAGGCAGAGACCUGAACUCUCUGGUGGCAGGAUUCUACAAACCCAAGCAGACAUCGUCUUCAUAAAACUUCUUCUGCACUAAGAAUAAGCCAUCAACUGGACCAGCAACACACGUGAAAUCAGUGAUCCUCUGAAGCUGAAGGAGAGUUUUUUGUUCAGGGGUCACACCUGGAACAAUUUCUUCAGGGAGCAAGGAGAAUACAACAGACUUUACGAUGGGGUGUACUUCACGUGCUACUUUCAAGUUGCAAACAAGGAGACGGGCACAAUUGUUCUUGUGAUGAAAAUGUUUUUCUAUGAAACUUGGACUUUUGAUGAGAGCAUACCAGUGCUUGCACACACAUUUGUAACGCAAGAGUGAUUCCACUGACAAUCUCAAUAGAAUAUCAACUACUAGAUCUUCUGGUAAAGGGCGGUGACCAUCCAUACUGGUGGAAAUAUAAGUAAAGUGAGAAAACUUACAAACAUAUUGAAAGAGAACAGAUCUAUAAACAUGCUUUAAUAGAACACACAAUGCAACGAAGAAGAUCAAGCAGCAACAUUACCAUGUGAAACAAAAAAUUGUAAGUUACACAUUUGACCACUCGGCCACAAAUAUUUACAUCAGCAAGCCAAUACACAUAUAUUAUGGGUAUACAUAUUUUUAAAAAUAUUUUGACAAAAUUUCUUGUAGAUCAAUUUGGGAGAAAAGAUCCAAAAUAGUUCUUCAUGUUUGGCUUCAGACUCAAAGUCAUCCCUUCCCUUUCUUUUAUAUGGUGCACUAAAUAGUUUCAUUUUCUGGCAUUCGAAAUCCUUUUUAUUACAGUUCUAUAUUUGAUUCUGUAUCAUAUAUAUAUAUAUAUAUAUUUAUCCCUGUCGUCGCCUUAGAUUCAUUGGCCUGAAUUUGAACAUUUAUGUAGCUCGGAACACUCAAAUAUCCGCCGCACUAUACCUUGAUUGCUUUUGACUACAUCUAUGACCAGUAAGUACAAGAUUGAUUGGGUAUUUGGUUUGAUUUUUGAGUUUGUCAUAUAUAUACAUAUGAAGCACUUUGUUAUUACACGAUAUAUCUUAUGAAUAAUAUAGGCAAUGUUUAUGAAGAAUUAGUUUUUAAAAGUUUUAGUUCAAUAACUUUGAUUAAUAUAUAUACUUGUAUGUGUUUGUAUAUACAUUUAUUUCUGGUAUCUCAGCACAUGUAUCAUACCCCAAAUCCUAAAAUUCAUGUGAUGAAGAAUUUGACUUUUAGAUCCGCAACCGUUUUGGGUCCAAGCAAUUUUCUUGUGUUAGAAUCUAAAAGCUGAUUUUCAUUUCUAAAAUCGUAAGUUAAGAAACGAAAGAAAAAAAAAAUACAGAUUUCCAUCUUAAAAAUUUGAAGUCUUCCCAUUUUCUAGUGAACAAGCGGUGAUUUGCUUUUCUAAUUUUUUCCUCACUUUUAAAAAGUGUCUUUUUCCUUAUAGGAAAUAUUUUCCAAAACAUUUGAUCAACCGAACAUAGCAAAAUUGGAAAACAUGUAUCGAACACACACAGAUAAAUACAGAUUUCCAUUUUAAGUCUUCCCAUUUCUUAGUAAAGAAGUGGUGAUUUACUUUUCUAAUCUUUUUAUUAGGCAAUCAAUGAUUUUCUUUUUGUAUUUUCAACGUGGAAUGUUACUAGUGCAACUUAUUUUCCCUACUUUCAUCAUAGAAGUAAUUUAAUCACUUUUAAGGAGUUUGUUUUCUAUAGAAAAUAGUAUUUUCUAAAACAUUUGACCAACGAAAAAAAAGAGAAAAUUGAAAAACAUGUAUCGAACACAACCUACAUCAAUUUUGAAACAGAAAGAGAGAAAUGAAAAGUGAAAAAUGGUGGAAGGAGACAUAUAUAUGUGCCAUCUAAUUUAAGAGCAAAAGCAUAACGUAGAGAAAGAGAGCAGCAAAACACAAAUACAGAAAAUUGAAAUCUAACCUGAGGAAGAAGAGCCGUAAAUGAGAAAUGAGAGUAGUGAAGAAGAGGCAAAAAGCUUUGUCUAUUUAUACUACCUACUAAUUAAUUUAGGACCAAAAAUUUCCAAAGUAUUUUUUUUCUUAGAUUUUGUGUCUAGUCAAAAGAAUGUCAUUACCACUAAGCCCAUUUUCUCAUCUAAUUAAUUAUUGUCUCUAUUGCAAGAGUUUUAUUUGAGGUGUUUCACACCCUUUAAGAAAAGUAGAUUAAGACAUAAAUUGAACAUACUUUUCCAUUUUUACCCUUAUUAAUUAUUGUCAAAUUUAUUGAAGUCAUCACAUUGAAAAUCCAAAUGAAGGGUAAAAUUGGAAGAAUAUUUUAAAAAUAGUCUUGAAGAUUGAACAAUUAAGUUAAUUUGAAAAAUGGAAAAUGCCUCAAAAAUUCAAUUAAUAUGGAAUGAAGGGAGCAUACUAUAAGUGGGAAGCUCCUAAUCUCAAAGUUGAUACAAAAAUACCUUUUACUAUUUUUUUUAUUAAAUAAAUAAUUAAAGUUAAUUAGACCAAAUUUACAUGAUUAGCUGUUAGAGUUUAUCAUUUCUUAAUGAGGCUUUAAUUGUUAUCCUUUGAGCUUCUUCCAUUUACACUUAUUCAAACAGUAGUUUAAUGCUUCACACUUAAGUUAUGAUUCUUCUACCUUUCAUCCUCCGCAUUAUUCUUUCAUCUUCCGCAUUAAUAAUUUUCUCUUAAAACCUUUUCUUAUUCCUUACAUUGCAAUACUCUCUAAAAGCUUACAAGAAGUUGUCUUAGCCCUAUUAUUCUAUUUGUGUUCUAUCGGUCAGAAAUUUCCCUUUUUCAGGUAUAUCUAUGAUUUAUAUGUAUCUAUAUGUGGUUUAAAUCUCAUUCUUGAGAUGGUAUAUGUUAUUUAAUAUUAAAAUAUAAUUAUCUUUUAAGUUGGAAUUAUUUGUCCCAAUGAAAGAUUUAGUAAUGUACAAUACACUUUUCACUGAAUGUUAUAAACACGGAGAUUAAUUGUUUUAAAUGGAUAUACUUCCGUGCAUAUUGUCAGAGAGUAAUUCCUUUAAUACUUUGUUAAUUUUAUUCUGUUAGAAAUUUAAUUUAUUAUCUACUUGAAUAUUGCAAUUUGGUGUAGAAGCUUUUAGAUUAAAGGACUUUUUAAUCGUUUUUAAACUGAAAGACUACAUCAUGUUUGCAUAAGAAAAAGUUCAAAUGAAAUUCAAAUAAAAAUAUCAAUUUAUCAAUUUUUCGUUCUCCAUAUAUAGGUUUUAUUGACGGGAUGCUAGGUAUCCAAACAACCUCUCUUUUUAAAGAAAUAAAUUUUCUCUAUCUUUUUAUGACAAAUGAAGAAAUUUUCUCUAUCUUUGUUAUGACAAAUGUUAUAGGCUUAGACUUUGAUCUUCAUCUUCAAUUAUUAUUACAUACAAUUUAUAAUUAACUUGCUACAAUGGGCAUAUCACUUACGUUAUUAUAUAUUAAUACUUAGCGAUAAAUUCUUCUUUCUAUAGGUCAUUUUUGAAAAUGCUUAAAGUAAAAAAUGAUAUUAAUAUAAAAAAUUGUGUCGCAUAUAAGUUGAUACAAAAAAACACCAAGAACUAGAUAGAUAACAAUAGAUCUACAAUAAAAGUUUUGAUCAUGAUAAAGAAAUUGAAACAUCGAAGUAGAACAUAUACAAUUAAAAAUAACAUCUAUAAGAAAGUAUUAGGUAAAUAUAAUUAUAUCACAUAUUUACACCUAAUAGUAUUACUAAUGAACUCAUUUUAUACUGUGCAUAUCUAACUAAAUUAUAUGGGUACACUUUUCAAGUUUAGAUGACAUCGAAUAAUCAACUCAAUUUUUUGACUAUUCUUUAAAUUGAGCAUGUAAGUCUUUUCAUAUUAAAUUUUCUAUUUAUCAUUAUACACAUAUUUUAAUAUUAUCUUUAUCUAUAUAUAUACUAAUUUACACCGGAGAUAACACUUAUUAGAGACAUUUUUUGAUUAUCUAGAUUGUUAUAAAUGAUAUUACCAAUUAAAUUAGGAUACAGGUGCAUGACACGUGGCCAGAAACUAGUACAGUAAAACCUCUAUAAAUUAAUACUCGGUAAAUUAAUAAUCUCUCUAAAGUAAUAUUUUUCUCCGGUCCCGACUUGGGCCAAUGAAAAAAAUUCUCAAUUUCGAUAAGAUAAUAAGAUAUAUAUUUCCAGAAGACCCCUAUAUAAAUAUAUGGUCCCAUUGAUAUCAUAAAUUAAUAAUUCUUUAAAAGUACAAAUAUAUCUAAGACAAUUUAGUGAAAUAUGAUUCUAUUGUGUUCUGUUUUUUUCUUAAAAUUUAAAUCUAGUUGAAACUCAUCUCUAACUUUUCUUAUUGCAUCCAAGAGCUCCGAUAUUAUCUUUUCGAACUGCACUAUAAAAUUGUGAAGAGUUCUAGAUGCGAUAAGUGCUUCAUUACGCGCAACUGGUUCCAAAGGUAUAAUAUCAUCUUCAACUUCAUCAACAACAUUGCUUUUUCCGAUGGUAUCUGUAACACCCGUAACUAGAAAGAACUAAAAAGGAAUUUUUAAAAAGAGGAAAUAGUCAUUUUUGGAAAGUAUAAAAAUUUUGAAAUUUUCAAGUGUGUUAAAGUUGAGUUUUUGGUCAACUUCAAAUAACCAUAACUUCUAGCUCAUGAUGAGUUAGGUGUGUUUCCAAAUAUCUUAGAAAUAUCUUGGAAUAAUCUUUCCAACGCCGCCAAGUUUACGCGAUUCCGAGUUCGUAUGAGUGAGUUAUUCCCUUUGGAAGUUGGGCUGUUCAAAUAAUAAUGUCCAAUCCGGAUUUUUAAAGGGUGUUUUGGUCUUUUCCAUACCCUAUUAUUUUAGUUCGUUUUUGGUGAAUUAAUUAAGGGUCAAAACUGAAUUGGUUCAGUUUAGGCAAUUGGAGAUUUAUGCUAGGGUUUUUGGAGAAAGAACGCAAGAGGAGAAAAGAGGAGAAAGAGCAAAGUUCGUCGUUCUUGAAGGUUUAGCUUGUGGAUUUCGACAAGGGUUGAUCCCUAAAGAGGUAUGUGAGUCUUUCAUAGCAUUGAGUUCGUUCACUUACGGGCCAAUCAUGUUUAUUUCAUCGUAAAUUCGUCCUAAAAGAGUUUGAAAGUUGAUGUUCUUGACAUCUGUUCUUGAAUUUGAUAUUAUUCUUGAGUUGAGCUGAAAUUGAGAAGUUUCUGAGAUCAUUACGUCAAAUUAUUGAGUUGGUUGAAGUUAGGAUUUUAGGUACAUUUGCUGGGUAUCUGUAUCUAAAAAGAAUUUGGGAAAAAGAAUCGAAUUUGGGCGAAUUAGGGUUGGAAAAUGAAGAAGAAAAUUCGUCGGGCAAAUCUGGGAUCAUUACGUCAAAUUAUUGAGUUGGUUGAAGUUAGGAUUUUAGGUACAUUUGCUGGGUAUCUGUAUCUAAAAAGAAUUUGGGAAAAAGAAUCGAAUUUGGGCGAAUUAGGGUUGGAAAAUGAAGAAGAAAAUUCGUCGGGCAAAUCUGGGCACUGGUUCCGCGUCGUGGACCUGCUCCCCAGAUUUAAGAAAAGUCAUUUCGCGUUGCGGUCAUUGACCGUUCUGCCUCAAAAAGUAUUUUUGCGACCAAAAUUUAAAUACGCCUCCGCGUCGUGGACUAGUUUCCAGGCAGUGAUUUCUUGAUCAUUUCUCAUGUUUAGCUAUCUAAAAUCAUUCCUAAACAUCAUGAGAUCUUUCCUGUCACAAAUCUCAAUCCUUGAACCCACAAUUCAAUUCAAGGAGCAGUUAAUAGUCAAGAGAAGUUCAUAGAGUCUUCCAAGGGUCUUUUACAAAUAUUUUAACUUUGUNNNNNNNNNNNNNNNNNNNNNNNNNNNNNNNNNNNNNNNNNNNNNNNNNNNNNNNNNNNNNNNNNNNNNNNNNNNNNNNNNNNNNNNNNNNNNNNNNNNNNNNNNNNNNNNNNNNNNNNNNNNNNNNNNNNNNNNNNNNNNNNNNNNNNNNNNNNNNNNNNNNNNNNNNNNNNNNNNNNNNNNNNNNNNNNNNNNNNNNNNNNNNNNNNNNNNNNNNNNNNNNNNNNNNNNNNNNNNNNNNNNNNNNNNNNNNNNNNNNNNNNNNNNNNNNNNNNNNNNNNNNNNNNNNNNNNNNNNNNNNNNNNNNNNNNNNNNNNNNNNNNNNNNNNNNNNNNNNNNNNNNNNNNNNNNNNNNNNNNNNNNNNNNNNNNNNNNNNNNNNNNNNNNNNNNNNNNNNNNNNNNNNNNNNNNNNNNNNNNNNNNNNNNNNNNNNNNNNNNNNNNNNNNNNNNNNNNNNNNNNNNNNNNNNNNNNNNNNNNNNNNNNNNNNNNNNNNNNNNNNNNNNNNNNNNNNNNNNNNNNNNNNNNNNNNNNNNNNNNNNNNNNNNNUUAGAUGAUUCUUUAGUGCUUUUUAGCAUAGACUAGUGGAUCCACUUAGUAGUUUAGGUUCUAUACUCAUGGCAAGGUAUAUGAUGUCCUUGGCAGUGUGAGGCAAAACGUUGUAUCAUCACAAUAUCUCUUAAGUGAUGGUUGUCGGUUAGAGAAACUCCCACACAAGUAUUUUGUAUUCUUAUAUACACAGAUUAUUUGUAAUUUCAUAUAAAAUAGAGUUCAUAUUGUAUCUUUGCAUACAUACAAAGUUAUUAUUGUAUUUCUAGAUACAUAGAGUUUCUUUCCAUGUUUUAAAAGCUUUUCUUUAUAUUGCAUUUAUAUUACUGCUUUAGUUGAGUUGAGACUAGGUUUGUCGUACAUUCCAUGUACUGAUGCCAGUUGGCCUGCAUCGUUUUAUGAUGCAGACGUAGGUAACUAGGAUCAACAUCCAGUGCAUCGUUGAUCCAGUUGAGCACUCAGAGUCUGGUGGUGAGCCUCCUUUGCUUUUCCGGAGGAUCCCCUUUUUAUUGCUUUCAGUAUUUGAUUUCAUUAGGAUGUCGUGGGUCUUGUCCCGACAUCUAUAUCAGUUUUAGAGGCUUCAUAGAUAGACAAUCAGAUGUUAGUUAUUUUAGUAAUUUCAUUGUCAUUAUCUUAUGUUGAGACUUGUGUUUGCCUUAAUGGCCAGUUGAAUGUUCAUUUAUAACAUUCCAGUUUAUUACAUAGAUUUAUCUUUGUUGAGUUAAGUCUUCCGCUGAGUAAGUAAGCCAGGCCAAGGGUUUUCUUGGGGCCAACAAUGGUUCUCGAGUGCUAGCCACGUUUGGGGUGUAGGCUCGGGGUGUGAAAAACUUGGUAUCAGAGCAUAGAGUUCAAGAGUCCUAGGGAGUCUAUGAAGCCGUGUCUGUAGAGUCCUAGUUAUCGGUGUGAAGCGCGCCACAUCUAUAAUAGGAGGAUGCAACAUUUAGGAACUAUCUCACUUCUUUCACAUCCAUUUCGUGCGAUAAAGUUAAUCUCUAUAAAGUUUCUUCCAAUUCGUGGUUGUGCGUGUAUUUCAGAUCAUGCCUCUACGAAGAGCUGUCAAAGGUCGUCCGACUAGAAGGAAGGUUGAACCACAGGAACAAGGGGUACCUAAUGCACUAGAAGUGUAACCCCAAUGAGACGUCACCAAUGCUGAGUUCCUUGAGGCCAUUCAGAUGUUGAGCCAAGUUGUGACCAACCAAGCUGGGCAACAGAGAGAGAAUCUUCAGGAAGUGGCUGAUACUUCUAGAGUUUAUGAGUUCUUAAAGAUGAAUCCUCCAAACUUCACAAGUUCAAGUGUCAGCUUUAGACCUAAGGGGAGAUGACGAGAUGAAAAAUCAAGUCAAGUGUUUGAGAAUAAGAUAGUAAUGAGUCCCAAAAAGUAUGGGAGAUAUCUUUUCAGAAGACUUUUAGUAGUGAAGUGAUGUUAAAAGGAAAAGGCUAAUGAUCCAUGUGCAACAAGUUGAGGAGGACAAGCUGAGGGAUAGAGAAUAGUUUAAGAAUAAGAGGGCGAAGACAUCAGGGAAUGAGUCCGGGUGGCAGAAGAGUAAUGCCAACCGGUCUUCCUUCCAACAGAAACAAAAGUGACCUGCUCCAUCAUCUACUAGUGCACCUGUACCAAGAAACAAAUGUGAGUACAAUAGUCAGAAUUCCCAGAAUUUUAGAGCUAGACCUGCACAUUCUCAAGGCAGUGUUGCAUAAGGAGGUAAUGAGACUCAUGCAUAUGCUAAGUGUGGUCGGAACCACUUAGGGGUGUGACGGGAUGACUCCACUGGUUGCUUCAAGUGUGGUCAAGACAAUCAUUUUAUGAGAGAGUGUCCUGAGAACAGGCAGGGUAAUGGUAAUGGGAGACAAUAGAGCCCAGUCUUCUUCAGUUGCUCCACCAGACAGAGCUGCACCUAGAGGAGCUACUUCAAGUACUGGCGGAGGAGCAAACCACCUAUAUGCUAUCACUAGUCGCCAAGAGCAAGAGGAUUCACCAGAUGUUGUUACUGGUAUGAUCCAAGUCUUUAACUUUGACGUUUACGCUUUGCUAGAUCCAGGAGCGAGUUACCAUUUGUAACUCCAUAUGUUUCUAUGAAUUUCAAUUAUAUUCUGAGCAACUUAGUGUACCCAUCAGUGUUUCUACACCUGCUAGUGAGUUUAUUCUAGUAGAAAAAGUCUAUCGUGAUUGUUCCAUUUUCGUUAAUCACAAGAGUACCAUGACUGAUUUAGUUGAGUUAGACAUGGUAGAUUUUGAUGUCAUUCUAGGUAUGGAUUGGCUUCAUGCCUGUUGUGCCUCAGUUGAUUGUAGAACUCGAGUUAUCAAGUUUCAGUUUCCAAAUGAGCCAGUCUUAGAGUGGAAAAGUAGUUCAACAAUGCCUAAGGGUCGUUUCAUUUCAUACCUUAAGGCAGGAAAGUUAGUUUCCAAGGGGUGUGUCUAUCACUUAGUCCGAGUUAAUGACUCUAGUGUUGAGAUACCUCUUAUUCAGUCAGUUCCAGUAGUAAAAAAGUCUCCAGAAGUCUUUCUAGAUGAUCUACCCGUAGUCCCUCAUGAGAGAGAAAUAGACAUCGGUAUAGACCUUCUUCUAGAUACUCGUCCUACAUCUGUUCUGCCAUACUGAAUGGCACCAGUAGAGUUAAAAGAGUUGGAAGAGCAGUUGAAAGAUCUCCUUGAUAAAGGCUUUAUUCAACCAAGUGUCUCACCUUGGGGAGCUCCGGUCUUAUUUGUGAGAAAGAAAGAUGGUUCCCUUAGGAUGUGUAUAGAUUACCGUCCGUUGAACAAGGUUACCAUCAAGAACAAGUAUCCUCUUCCGAGAAUUGAUGAUUUUUUCGAUCAACUUCAGCGUGCCACCUGUUUCUCUAAGAUAGAUCUCAAAUCUGGCUACCAUCAGUUAAGAGUAAGAGAAUGUGAUAUUCCAAAGACAACUUUCAGAACCCGUUAUGGUCAUUAUGAGUUUCUAGUCAUGUCCUUUUGUUUGACCAAUGUGCCUGCAACAUUCAUGGACCUUAUGAAUAGAGUAUUCAAACCUUAUUUAGAUAUGUUUGUUAUCGUCUUCAUUGAUGACUUACUAAUCUAUUCAAGAAAUGAAGAAGAUCAUGCUAGUCAUCUCAUAAUAGUUCUCCAGACCCUAAAAGAUAAAAAAGUUGUAUGCUAAGUUCUCGAAAUGUGAGUUUUGGCUUGAGUCUGUGGCAUUCUUAAGCCACAUUGUGUCUGGAGAGGGAAUUAAAGUUGAUACUCAGAAAAUUGAGGCAGUACAGAAUUGGCCUAGACCCACAUCUCCAACUGAUAUUAGAAGUUUCUUAGGUUUGGCUGGAUAUUAUUUCAUCCCCUUUGACCAAGUUAACUCAGAAAACAGUUAAGUUUCAAUGGUCUGAAGCUUGUGAGAAAAGCUUUCAGGAGUUGAAAAAGAGGUUGACUACUGCCCCAAUAUUGACCUUACCAGAAGGUACGCAAGGCUUUGUUGUAUAUUGCGAUGCAUCCAGAGUUAGUUUGAGUUGUGUGUUAAUGCAGAAUGGUAAUGUUAUAGCUUAGGCCUCCAGACAGUUGAAAGUUCAUGAGAAGAAUUACCCAACCCAUGAUUUAGAGUUGGCUGCUGUAGUUUUGCUUUGAAAAUAUAGCGUCAUUAUCUUUAUGGUGUUCAUGUGGAUGUGUUCACCAAUCACAAGAGUCUUCAAUAUGUGUUUAGUCGGAAAGAGCUUAAUCUCAGACAAAGGAGGUAGUUAGAAUUACUCAAGGAUUAUGACAUGAGUAUUUUUAUCACCCAAGUAAGGCUAAUGUUGUUGUUGAUGCCUUGAGCAGGUUGUCUAUGGGUAGUACCGCCCAUUUUGAGGAAGAUAAGAACGAGUUAGCAAAAGAGGUGUAUAGACUUGCAUGACUAGGAGUUCGACUAAUGGAUUCCACAGAAGGAGGAGUAGUGGUGAUGAAUGGGGCUGAAUCAUCAUUAGUGUCAGAAGUGAAAGAGAAGCAAGACCAAGAUCCUUUAUUUCUUGAAUUAAAAGGCAAGUGUUCAUAAGCAAAAAAGUGAUGGGUUUUGAGAGAUGGUGUUUUGAGGUAUCAAGGUGGAUUGUGUGAUUGAUUUCAAGGGUAAUUUGGGAUGAUCCCCUACCUCUCAUUAAGUUUGCUUACAACAAUAGUUACCAUUCUAGCAUCCAAAUGGCUCCAUAUGAGGAUCGGAGAAGAUGCAGAUCUCUUAUUGGAUGGUUUGAAGUUGGUGAAGUUGGGUUGAUAGGUCCAGACUUAGUUCAUCAGGCUAUGGAGAAGGUGAAAGUUAUUCAAGAGAAGUUGAAAAUUGUCACGACCCGAGCCUACACCUAGACGUGGCCGGCACUCGAGAACCAUUGCUGGUCCCCAAGCGAACCCUUAUCCUGGCUAACUACAAGCGGAAAACUGAUUCAAGCAUACAAAGCUUAAAACUGAAUAGCAUUCAUGAAACUGAAAUACAAAGCUUUAACUCAAAUGAAAAACUCUGAAUAAAAUAAUAUAUUCAACUCGCCAUAAAAUAGGCAACUUAAGUCUUUAAAACAUUUAAUAAAAUAAAUGAAUAAUACAAACUUCUCAACUAUACUAACUAUCUAUGAAGCCUCUAACUGAUAAAGAUGGAAGUCGGGACAAGACCCACGACCUCUUAACUAAACUAAAAAGUAAAUGAAAUCCUCCGAAAACGAGGAGGCUCACCAUAGCUAACUCGAACUCCCGGAUGUGUCAACGAAUCUCCUGUUGAUGAUCCUGAAUACCUGUGUCUGCAUCAUGAGAAGAUGCAGGCCAAAUGGCUCAGUACGCGGAAUGUACGAGCUUGUAAGAGGAAUUCUAAAGCAUAAACAUAAGCUUGAAACUUGAUAAAAAUGGAAAAUACUUGCCUCUUUUCAAACUUACUCAACUCAAGGAAUACUCAAGGAUACUCAAAACUACUCAAACGUACUCAACUCAGAAGUACUCAAAGAUAAGAUACUCAACUCAAAGAUAUGUUAUUCGACUCUGGGUACUCAACUCUGUAUACUCAACUCAAUAUAAAGCAACAAUAAGAGAUGCAAUAUAUAGAAAGCUUUAUAAAAUAGUAAAAACAACUUAGUUCGUUAAAGAAAAUGCAAUAACAAACUCAACUUUACUUAUACAAUAAAGUAAUGUAGUUUAUGUGGAGUUUCUCCAACCGACAACCACCACUAUGAGCCUAAGUGNNNNNNNNNNNNNNNNNNNNNNNNNNNNNNNNNNNNNNNNNNNNNNNNNNNNNNNNNNNNNNNNNNNNNNNNNNNNNNNNNNNNNNNNNNNNNNNNNNNNNNNNNNNNNNNNNNNNNNNNNNNNNNNNNNNNNNNNNNNNNNNNNNNNNNNNNNNNNNNNNNUUAAUAUGAACUCGCAUCCCCAUAUCGAUGCUCAAUACUACUCCCAAAAAAUAUACUUAGCUCUUAUGUUUUAAAAAACCAAACUUCUUUCUUUGGUUUGAGAUAAUUACUCAAAACUUAGCUUAAAAGCUUUCUUGGAAUCGAUGUUCCCUUUCUUGCUCAAAACUCUUUUGGAAAUCUUAAUUUCCUCUCAUCUUAAAUGUGAAAACAUUACUCUUGGAAAUACUUAGUUCCCAUAUAUUAUUUUAAAGAAAAUGAACUUUACUCUUACUCUUUACUCAACUUCAAAGCUUAAGUCUUAAAACAAAAUUUAAACAUUUGUAAAAGACUUCUUAAAAUAUGGUUCAUGCCGAAUUAUGGACGUGAACGACUCAAUGCAAGGUUUUCAAUAACCAAAGAUAGAACUCAAUACUUGGAACUCAAGAACUUCAUUGUUAAUACUCGUUGCAAAAAUGCUCAACUCAGAGGGUUCAUGCGGAAUUAUGAGCAUGAAUAACCCAACUCAAACUUCAUGGGUAACAUGUAAUAGUCCCAUGAUUAGAACUAUAAUCUCAGAGGGGAUUAGAAACUCAAAACUCAAGACUUAGAACUUGAAGAUACUACUCCUUUCAAAGAUAUUGAACUGAUGGAGUUCAUGCAGAAGUUAUGGGCAUGAACGACUUGACUCAAGGGUCAAAAUAUCAAUAANNNNNNNNNNNNNNNNNNNNNNNNNNNNNNNNNNNNNNNNNNNNNNNNNNNNNNNNNNNNNNNNNNNNNNNNNNNNNNNNNNNNNNNNNNNNNNNNNNNNNNNNNNNNNNNNNNNNNNNNNNNNNACUUUUAACUCUCUCUUGAAUGUGAAUUAUGAAUUCAAGAGUUAUGGCUCAAGCUAUAAAAGAUAUCAUGACGAAAAAAUAGACUCAUGAAUACAUUCUCCUCACUCUCAUGCUCACUACUUGAGUGUUGAAAGAAGUUACUAGAAGUUGUAGAAGACUCCACAAAAGGACUCAAAGGGACUUUCUUAGAAUGUUUGAAAGAAUUCUCAAAACUUAGCUCUCAACUCUACCUUGAAUUUGAAUUAUUAAUUCAAGGUUAUGAUAAUGUUAUGAAUGAUUUCUAGGUGUUUAGAAGUAGUUUAAAGUGUUUAGAAUCAAAGGGGAGUAAAGGUACCAUUUGAAAGAACUCAAACAGACGAAACGAUGAACAACGGGUGGGGGCCGGCGACCCUGGCGCUCUGAGUCACGUGGGGCGCCAGCCCCUAAAGUUCAGAGAGGUGGUUGGGGCUCUCUGGCUGGCGUGACACUCCAGGCCCCAACCCAGAAAAGUUCGACGACUUUCUUUGCUCGUUUUCUCACCCUAAGUCGCCUAAAAUCGAACAGUUUCUUCCCCAAUCACUUGGAUUUAAUUAAUUAACAUUAAUACACUCUCAUAUACUCAAAACAACACUCAAAUUACUAAAUUUCAUUUGAAGAAAUCAUCAAAACCCCAACACAACAAGAUUUAGAAUGAACUUCAAGAACACCUAUCAAGAACUCAAAUCUUUCAACUUCAAGAAUGAAAUUUGGGCUGAAAAUAACAUGUUUGGAGUGUGGGUGAACAAACCCAACAUUAUGGAAGCUUACAUACCUCUUAGGGAUCAAACCCAUGGCAAAAAUCUGCAACAAGACGGAAGAAUCUCGACGAACGCUUGAUCCUCUCCUCUUUUCUCUUCUUUUCUCUUCUUGAACUCUCAACUAAAACCCUAGGCAUAAACUAGGAUUAUAAAACUGAACAUAAUCAAAUUAUACCCCUAAAAUAUUACUAAAAACGAAUUAAAUCUGAUUGGGUAAGGAAAAGACCAAAAUACCCCUUACUAUUUUCGACUAACUUUCCUUAACUGGGUUGCCUAACUUCAAAAGGUCAUAUCUCACUCAUCCAAACUCGAAACUUAGAAAACUCGUUGGCGUUGGAAAGAUAAUUCAAAGAUAUUUCCUACGGUAUCUGGUAGCACACCUAACGCAUCCUGAGCUAGGAUUUAUGGUCGUUUGAAGUCGACCCAAAACUCAUACUUAAGCAUAACUUGCAAAAUUUCAGAUUUUGCUAUUUCCAAGUUUGAACUUUUUUGGAACUCAAGGUGCUACAUCCAGUGACCUUAAAACUUAAGAAAUUUUUAAUUCCUUGGAAAAAUCUCACUUACUACGAUGAACGGUUCGAGUCUUAGUUCAAUUUUUUUUUUGGGUGUUACAAAAACAGCGUAGAGUCCUCAGAAAUCCUACAUUGAUGUUAGGAGAAAGAAGUUAGAGUUCGAAGUAGAUGAUUGGGUCUACUUGAAAGUUUCACCCAUGAAGGGUUUUAUGACAUUUGGUAAGAAGGGGAAGCUUAGCCCCCGGUAUAUUGGUCCUUACAGAAUAUCCAAGAGAUUCGCAAUGUAGCUUAUGAGUUGGAGCUACCUCAAGAGUUAGCAGCGGUUCAUUCGAUUUUUCACGUCUCCAUGUUGAAAAAGUGCAUGGGCGAUCCUUCUUUGAUCAUACCAACCGAAGAUAUUGGGAUCAAGGAUAGCUUAUCUUAUGACGAGAUUCCUAUUCAGAUUCUAGAUCGCCAAGUUCACAAGUUGAGAACAAAAUAGGUAGCAUCAGUCAAAGUCUUUUGGUGGAAUCAAUUUGUUGAGGAAACUACUUGGGAAUCGGAGGAGGAUAUGAAGAAGAGAUAGCCACAUCUCUUCGAAUCAGGAGAAAUUCCAGAACAAGGUACUAAUUCAUUUCUUAGUACUCUUUAACUUAUGAGAUUGCAUGUUGUAGUUGCAUUGGUUGUUGGCUGUUUGAACUGAAUGUUAGAUGUUAUGCCCUUAACUUACUAAGAGUAAGCUCAUUCGAGGAUGAAUGUUCCCAAGGGUGAGAUAUUGUAACACCCGGUAACUAGAAAGAACUAAAAAGCAAAUAGUCAUUUUUGGAAAGCAUAAAAAUCUCGAAAUAUUUAAGUGUGUUAAAGUUGAGUUUUUGGUCAAAUUCAAAUGACCAUAACUUCUAGCUCAGGAUGAGUUAAGUGUGUUUCCAGAUAUCUUAGGAAAUAUAUUGGAAUAAUCUUUCCAACGCUGCCGAGUUUACGCAAUUCUGAGUUCGUAUUAGUGAGUUAUGCCCUUUGGAAGUUGGGCUGUUCAAAUAAGGAAAUGUCCAAUCCAGAUUUUUAAAGGGUGUUUUGGUCUUUUCCAUACCAUAUUAUUUUAAUUCAUUUUUGGUGAAUUAAUUAGGGGUCAAAACUGAAUUGGUUCAGUUUAGGCAAUUGGAGAUUUACGCUAGGGUUUUUGGAGAAUGAACGCAAGAGGAGAAAAGAGGAGAAAGAGAAAAGUUCGUCGUUCUUGAAGGUUUUACUUGUGGAUUUCGACAAGGGUUGAUCCCUAAAGAGGUAUGUGAGUCUUUCAUAGCAUUGAGUUCGUUCACCUACGCGCCAAUCAUGUUUAUUUCAGCGUAAAUUCGUCCUAAAAGAGUUUGAAAGUUGAUGUUCUUGACAUCUAUUCUAGAAUUUGAUAUUGUUCUUGAGUUGGGCUGAAAUUGAGAAGUUUCUAAGAUCAUUACGUCAAAUUAUUGAGUUGGUUGAAGUUAGGUUCUUAGGUUUAGGUACAUUUGCUGGGUAUCUGUAUCUAAAAAGAAUUUGGGAAAAAGAACCGAGUUUGGGCGAAUUGGGGCUGGAAAACGAAGAAGAAAAUUCGUCAGGAAAAUCAGGGCACUGGCUCCGCAUCGCGGACCUGCUCCCCAGAUUUGGGAAAAGUCAUUUCGCGUCGCGGAGCGGUCACAGACCGUUCUGCCUCAAAAAGUAUUUUUGCGACCAAAAUUUAAAUACACCUCGACGUCGUGGACUAGUUUCCAGGCAGUGAUUUCUUGAUCAUUUAUCAUGUUUAGCUAUCUAAAAUCAUUCCUAAGUAUCAUGAGAUCUUUUCUAUCAAAAAUCUCAAUCCUUGAACCUAUAAUUCAAUUCAAGGACCAGUUAAGAGUUAAGUCAAGAGAAGUUAAGAGUCAAGUCAAGAGAAGUUCAUAGAGUUUUCCAAGGGUCUUUUACAAAUGUUUUAACUUUGUUUUAAGACUUGAGUUUGAGUUGAGUAAAGUUUGAAGUUCAUUUCUUCAAAAGAGUAUAUCGGGACUAUGUAUUUCCAAAGAGUAAAAUGUUUUUCACAUUUUAAAGAAGAAAUGAAACUUUGAUUUCCAAAAGAGCCUUUGAGCUAGUUUUCAGUGAAGAGCCUUUGAGUUAGUUUUCAGUUUAAAGAGUAAAUGCUUUCACAAUAAAGCAAGAGAGGAAACUUAGAUUUUCAAGAUAGCCUUUGAGCUCAGUUUUUGAGCAAUUAUCUCAAAUCACAGAAAGAAGUAUGUUUUUUAAAACAUAAGAGCUAGUAUUAUUUUGGGAGUAGUAUUGAGCACCGAUAUGGGGUAGAGUUCAGACAACUCACAACCCCCAUAAACCAUGUAGCCACCAUGGGUAGAAAAGGGUCCUAUUGUUUAGAUGAUUCCUUGAUGCUUUUUAGUAUAGACUAGUAGAUCCACUUAGUAGUUCAGGUUCUAUACUCAUGGCUAAGUUUAGGACGGCCCUGGCAGAGUGAGGCAAAACGCUGUAUCAUCACAAUAUCUCUUAAGUGAUGGUUGUCGGUUAGAGAAACUCUACAAUAGUAUUUUGUAUUCUUUUAUACACAGAUUAUUUGUAUUUUCAUAUACAAACAGAGUUCAUAUUGUAUCUUUGCAUACAUGCAAAAUUAUUAUUGUAUUCCUAGAUACACAAAGUUGCUUUCCAUGUUUUAAAAUCUUUUAUUUAUAUUGCAUUUAUAUUACUGCUUUAUAUUGAAAUCAAUUCAAUUCAGUUGAGUUGAGACCAUGUUUGUUUCUUCAGUUCCUUUUAAGCUUAUGUCUUGUUUUAGAUUUCCCCUCGCAUACUCGUACAUUCAAUGUACUGAUGCCAGUUGGCCUGCAUCUUUUCAUGAUGCAGACGCAUGUAACUAGGAUCAACAUCCAGCGCAUCGUUGAUCCAGUUGAGCACUCAGAGUCUAUGCUAAAAUGCACUUAAGGAAUCAUCUAAAAAGUAUGAUCUUUUACUAUCCAUGAUGGCUACAUGGUUUAUGGAGACGUGAGUUAUCUGAACUCAAACUCGUCCCUAUAUCGGUGCUCAAUAUUACUCCCAAAAUACUCAGCUCAUAUGUUUAAAAACAUAACUUUUUCUGUGGUUUGAGAUAACUACUCAAAAAUCUAUUCUUAAAAGAGAUGAUACUCAAACUGCUCAAAACUCUUUUGAAAAUAUCUGUUUCCUCUCAUCUUAAAUGUGAAAACAUUUACUCUUGGGAAUACUUAGUUGCCAUAUAAUCUUUGAAGAAAUAAACUUUACUCUUACUCUUUACUAAACUCAAAGCUUAAGUCUUAAAACAAAGUUAAAACGUUUGUAAAAGACUUCUUAAAAUAUGGUUCAUGCCGAAUUAUGGACAUGAUGGACAUGGAUGACUCAAUGCAAGGUUUUCACUAACCAUAGAUAAAACUCAAUACUUGGAACUCAAGAACUUCAAUGAUACUGCUCAUUUCAAGAAUGCUUAACUUAGAGGGUUCAUGCAGAAUUAUGAGUAUGAACUACUCAACUCAAGGACUCAAGGACUCAAAGAUACUUCUCAUCUGAAGACAGGAACUCAACACUUAAAGGCUUAGAACUUGAAGAUACCACUUCUCUGAANNNNNNNNNNNNNNNNNNNNNNNNNNNNNNNNNNNNNNNNNNNNNNNNNNNNNNNNNNNNNNNNNNNNNNNNNNNNNNNNNNNNNNNNNNNNNUUAGGAACUCAAUACUCAAGACUUAGAACUUGAAAAUACUACUCCUCUCAAUGAUGCUCAAUUUAUGGAGUUCAUGUGGAAUUAUGGGCAUGAAUGACUCCCAAUAACGAACUAAUGUAUACGACUUUUCUCCAUACUUACUUAUUCAAAACUUAACUCAAAUUGAUGGUGGAUCUAAAAGGAUUCACAAUUGAAAUCAAAGUCUUCCUUGAACUCUACUCUUUAACUCCUCUUGAAUGUGAAUUAUGAAUUCAAGAGUUAUGGUUCAUGAUAUGUAGGAUAUAAAUGAUAGUGUAGACUCAUGAAUACAUUCUCCUCACUCUCAUGCUCACUUACUUGAGUCUUGAAAUAAGUUAUUAGAAAUUGAAGAAGACUCCUCAAAAGGACUCUCUCAAAAUGAUUAAAAAAACUCUCAAGACUUAACUCUCAACUUUACCUUGAAUUUGAAUUAUGAAUUCAAGGUUAUGAUUCAUGUUAUGAAUGAUUUCUAAGUGUUUAGAAGUAGUUUAGAGUGAUUAGAAUUAAAGGGAGUGAAGGUUCACUUAAAAGGGGCUCAAACGGGACAACCGACGGAAAAUGAGUUGGGGCAACCAACCCUGGCGCGUUCCGGGCGCAGGGAGCCAGCCCCUAACUUCAGAGGCUGCAUAUGGGUGCACUGCAGGGGCGCUGCCCCAGCCCCUUGGUCGCAUUUGGGGCGCGCCACCCUAGCCUCUCCCCAGGUCAAGUUCGACGAAUUUUGCCUCUCGUUUUCUGAUCCUAAAUCACUUUUAAUCGAUUUAUUUUCUCAAGUUUCCCUUAAAUUCAAUUACUGAACCUAAGUACACACUAAUCCACUCAAAACAAUCACUUUCAUCUCGAGAAAUCAUCAAAACCCCAACAAGACAAGAUUUAGAAUGAACUUCAAGAACACUUAUCAAGAACUUAAAUCCUUUAACUUUUGAGAGUGAAAUUGCGCUGAAAGUAACAUGUUUGGCGUGUGAGUAAACAAACCCAAUAUUAUGAAAGCUUACAUACCUCUUAGGGAUCAAACCCAUGGCGAGAAUCCGCAACAACACGCAAGAAUCUUGACGAACGCUUGAUCCUCUCCUUUUUUCUCUUCUUUUCUCUUCUUGAACUCUCAACUAAAACCCUAGGUGUAUUUUAGGAUUAUAAAACUGAACCUAAUCAGAUUAGACCCCUAAAACAUUACUAAAAAAUGAAUCAAAUUUGAUUGGGUAAGGAAAAGACCAAAAUACCCCUCUAAAAUUUGAUUUUGAGUUUCCUUAUCUAGACAUCCCAACUUCUAAUGGCCAUAUCUCCCUCAUACGAACUUCAAAUUGAGUAAACUCGGUGGCGUUGGAAAGAUAAUUCAAAAAUAUUUCCUAAGGUAUCUGGUAGCACACCUAAAUCAUCUUGAGCUAGGUGUUAUGGUCGUUUGAAGUCGACCCAAAACUCAUACUUAACUUAACUUGCAAAAUUUCAGAUUUUGCUAUUUCCAAUUUAGUUCUUAUUGGAACUCAAGGUGCUACAUAUAGUUACCUUGACACUUAAAGAAAAUUUUAAUUUCUUGAUUAAAUCUCACUCACUACGAAGAACGGUUUAGGUCUUAGUUCGAAAAUUUUUCUGGGGUGUUACAAAAUUCUUCUUCAAUAAUUGAAUCUAUUAGUUAGUGAACUCGAGUAAAUGGCUAAAAACAUCCCUGAACUAUACCUCAAACUCAAACUACAUCCGUGUAUCAUUACAUUGAACAAAAAACAUCCUUCAACUAUCUAAAAAACUGCAAGUUACAUCCUUAUGUUAACUUUCUAUCAAGAAACUAAUCACUUUAAGUAGAAGCACACAACAUUCCGAUAAAGGCAAACAAUUUUGCCCACUCACUGAUCUUCUCUAUCAAGUAGUAAACUAGUAAUCAUAUUAAAAGGUAUUCUAUGACUAGCAUUAUUGUAGGAAUAUUAAUUAAUUAAGGCCUAAAGAUUUAUAACUUGGGACUUGUUCAACUUUGGUUUGUCCCUUUUUUAAUUUUACUGAGCUUGUUAUUAUGUUGUUAGCUUUUCUAUCAAGACUCUUAUUGAUCCCAUGCUAUUUCGAGUUUGCUUUAUUUUUUCAUUUUCUAAUUAGUACGUUACUCCUCCAACAACAUUCAUCAAAUUUCCAAUACUCUCAACUAAUUAAAUGAAAACUUUAAACAUAAAAAUCAGAUGUAAACCUUGCAGAUUUGUCUUUGGACAUAAAAAUAAUAAUUAUGUGAUACUAAAAUACAAGGAUUUGAACUCUUAAUUAGUGUGUGUUUUGGUGCUGGGAAAAAUAAUUUUUAAAAAUAUAUUUUCAAUUUUUCAUAUUUAAUUGACCAAAGUUUUUGAAAAAUAUUUUAUCUAAGAAGACAAGUUCUUAAAAUAUAAAAAAAAAUGAGUUGUAAUAUCGACGUAGGAAAAAAAGCUCCACAAAUGACAUUUCAAAUUCAUUCACAAAUCCUUUUAGCAAAGACAAUGUUUGUUCUAUGUUUAAGAAGACAGUGAGGGGACAAAAUCUCUUUUCAUUAGGAGAUGGUCGCUAUAUUUUUGAUAGAAAAUUAAGGAGGGAUGUAACUUGUAACUUUCAAAAUAGUUCAGCGAUGGUUUUUGUUCACAAUAAUAAUAUAAGGAUGUAGUUUGAGUUUAAGGUAUACUUAAAGGAUGUUUUUGGCCAUUUACUCUAGUGAACUCCUCCAUUAAUGACUAGUCUAAAGUUAGAUUCUUGUAACUUUCAAUUUUGAUUUUGAUUUUGAACUACCAACAAAUUAUCAAAGUGAUGAAAAGUAUGUGAUUUGGUGGUGGGAAUUGACUUAGUGAUGAAAACCUGAUGAGGGCGGUGACCUGGUGGUUGAGGUGAGCCACCGCUGAUGUUUAGUAUGGAUCUGAUGAUGAAGAUUGAAGGGAAGAGAUAAAGAAGGUAACAAAUAAAUAAAAGGAAACAUAUUUUUAAAAAAGUAGAAUAUUAAUAUAAAUUAAAUAAAAUAUUUAUGAAGUUAAUAUUCUAAUUAUUUUUUGAUCUCUCACUCUCCCAAAGAGAGUGAACUAUACCUUCUUUGCCACAUCAACAUUUAGGGAGCAAAUAACUCCAUUUUAAAAUAGUCCAGGGGUGUAAUAGGACUCUUGUAAAGUAUGAGUGUGUAGUUGGGAAUCCGACUAUUGGUUGGGGGCAGUGGCGGAGCCAGAAAUUUUAAUAAUGGGGUUCAAAAUCUGAGAAGUAAACACACGAACUAGUGGAAGAGGGUUCGACAUCUAUUAUACAUACAUAAAAAAUAAUUUUAACCAUGUAUAAAUAGUAAUAUUUUUCGUCGAGGGGGUUCGGAUGAACCCCUUCAUUACAUGCUGCCUCCGCCCCUGGUUGGGGGGCUUUUGGCCAUUUUCUCUUCUUUUAUAUGGUGCACUAAGUUUCAAGUGUUAGUGCACUUUUAGUCUCUUUAUUAACAUCCAUUUACUCAUUAACGUUUUGAUCGAUCCUUUACACAUCCAUUUAUGGCCUCCGCUGUAUACGUUCUGGUACAAAACAAAUUAAUUCUUAGAUUUAUCUUAGCAAUUGCAGAUGAGUCUUCAUUUAUACUUGUUUUAUUUUUUGGCUCUGCAUCUUCAUUGUUUGGUGUGCACCAUUAAAGAUUUGCUAAUUCUUUAACUUUCUCCUCUAUUUUCCAUACACAAUUAAUAGGCUGACUAAGCCUUUGGGUUUUUCCUGAAUAAAAGUUUCUUGUGCUUUGCCUAUAUGUAUAUCUGGAGCAUAACCAAAGAAUAAAAUAAAAACAAGAAAAAAGGAAAAAUAUAAUGCAUGUAUCAAUAUCUCAAAUUAGAGUCGGAUAAAGGGUGUGUUCUAAUCAAAUUUUUUGGAAAAGAUUUUGUUUAGGAAAACAAGUUUCAUACGUGACACUUCAAAUGAAAAAAAAGACUUUGUUUAGGAAGUAGGGAAAACAAGUUUCAUAUGUGACAUUUCAAUUGAUUAUAUUGUCCGCCCACUCUCUAAGACACCACAUCUUCACCUCAGUACUCCCAUAGCUUCCAUACCCACUACCCUACACAUCUACCCUACCUCCGUCUCUCAUAGUAUUUGUCUAGAUUAUACGUAAAUGCUUUUAGAAUAACCAGCCAAAUAGAGUCAACAGGAGGAGACUAGUAAAGAAGUAGUCAUGUGGUUUUCUAGUCUUUUCAUUAACUAGUCAAUAGUUAUUCUUGAGCUACAUAUCAAGUUAGCAUAUAGAGCAAUUUUGCAGGUAAUUUAAGGAGCAUUAAACAUUAAUUAUCCUUUUCUACUAUUAUCAAUCUACAAAUCCUUGGAAAUGGAACAAUUUUAACUUACCCAAUAUUGAAAUGUGAAAGAUGGACAGAAGUAAAAAGAAUUAGCGUAACAAUGGCAGCAAAACCCUAUAUCCCCAAAUAGGACAAAUUCAGAUUCAGAUUUAAAAAAAUAAUCAGAAAUCUAACCUUAUAAGCUGAUGAAGUAGAAGUGGCAAAAAGAGAUACUGGAUUGAUUGAGUGGUGUUGUAGAAAUACCUCAACAGUUGACUACUUCCUCACAUUUCUUUUGUCAUUAUAUUUUAUACAACUCCUUUUAAUUCCUUUUAUCUAAGUUUUUAAUUAUGCGGUGGAGUAAUAAGUACUUAUUCAUAUUUAGUUAGAGGUUUCGGAUUUGAGUCUUUUUGGCUAUAAAAGGAUCUUUGUUAGGGAGUGCUUUACCCAUAAUUUGAGAUUUUUUGGCACAAAUUCAAAUUUAGUGAGGCUCUAAUUUGGAUAUCGAACACUGAGUGGAAAACCAAAAAAAGAAAAAUUACCAUAGGGCUCAUUUGGUAGGUGGAUAAAGCUACAUCUACAUGGUUUUUCAUGUAUUUAAUUUAUAUAAUGUUUUGUUGGUAGAAUGUUGUAUAAAAGUUAUUCAUGUAUUAACAAAGAUGUUUCUCUCUACGAUAUGUUCCCGCAAGAGAAAGAGUUUGUUAUUUGAGGGGGGGGGGUUAUUUGGAGUCUUUUAACCACAAUUUGAAGCCUCGACAUAUCUCUUUUAUCCAUGGUUCAAGGCCCCGACGUAUUUUUUUUGCCACGGUUCGAGGCCCCAACAUAUCUCUAUUCGCCUUGGUUCAAAUCCUAACAUGUGGUUCAUUUGGGUUCUUCGGGGUGCCUUCACCAAAGUUCAAGUCUGGAAUCAGCCAUUGCAGUUCUUGAAAGCUUUUAAUGUAGCUAGUGUUAUUCAUAGUACUUCUGUGUACUUAUCAGACCUAAGUGAAUCCAAACUCGUUUGAGUUAUUUACUUUCCAAUUGCGCACGAAUAUACGUACUUGCUGGGCUUAUAGGGUCCAGUUAGGUUAUAGAUAAUUGUUUUACUUUACUACUUCGUUCUAUCCACACUUGUGAGCUAUAUAGUUAGAUUUUCUGUUAUUGCUUUGUUCAUUUUACCUCUAAUUACCGUUACUUUCAUAUUGUUUUUACUUUCCAAGUUUAGUCAAACUAUGAUGCCUACUCGACACAUGUUGUUUUGAUAUUCAUGCUACACUCCACAUCUGUUUUCUUGAUGUAGAUUUGAGCACCUGCUGAUAACGGUGAUUCGAGCCUAAGUAAUGCGAAGAUCUUCUGAGAUGAAGGGUGAGUUGUUGGCUUCCUAGUUCGACUUAUCUCCAUAUGUAUAUAGUUUUUUACCUGUCUUUUGUAUUCGAGACAAGUAUAUUAAUUAGUAAGUCAAUAGCAUAGGCUCUAAACUAUGACUAAAACAUUGAGUGCAUGACAUGCACAUCUUACUCCUUAUUUUCCUUAUUCAGGGCCGUCUUAACCUCUAGGCCACUAAAGCCAUCGCUUGGGGUCCCAUAUAUUUUGGGUCCCCCAUUUUAAAAAAACAAUUACUUAUAUAUGUUAUUUUUUUAAAAAUAAAUUAUAUGUACUAUUAGCGUUAUGAUUUAUGCUAAAGAAAUUGCAUAUGAGAUGAAAAUAUACCUUAAUUUCGUAAGAAACGGUUUGAUGAAAAUAUGGAUAGAGAAAUCACAAAGUCCCUUGAAUAAUCUUUUAGUGUUUAUUGAUUUAUAUAUGUAGGGUAGAUCAAACUAUUUUUUCAUUUCAAAAUAGAUUCGAACCAAUUGAAGCAUAUAUAUGGAAAUAUUUUUGAUUUCUUAUUUAGUAGUAAAAUGUUGAGAUCACUAGAUGAUGAAUUUAAAAAAUAUUGUCUUAACCUUGAACUUUCUUUAACAUGUAAUAGUUAUUCUGAUAUUGAUGGUUUAAAUUUAUUUUUUGAAUUAAAAGUGUUAAGGGAAAUAAUACAAAUAGAAGAUAAUGAUCUAACAAAAAUACUCAAUCAAAUAAAAAGACUUGAUUCUUUUUCAAAUACACAUAUUGCUUAUAGAAUAAUGUUAACAGUUCAUGUAACCGUUACCUCAGCCGAAAGAAGUUUUUUCGAAAUUAAAAUUGAUUAAAUCUUCUUUAAGAUGAACAAUGUCUCAAGAGAGAUUGAAUGAAUUAGCUAUAUUACCAUUUGAAAAAUAAUUAUUAAAACAAAUUGAUUAUGAAACAGUACCUAUUGACUUCGCAUCUAAAGUAGCUAGAAAAGAAGAUUUUAAAUAAAAGUAUAUAGGAUGAAAAAAAUAAAAUAUUAGGGCCCCUCUAUUCAGUUUUCCUUUAGGCCCCUAAUGUUGUUGAGUCGGCCUGGUUAUUCGUACCUAUUUUUUUCAUACUUUCUAACUUCACUAGUACAUUAUCAUUUGUUAAGGAAAAUUAUGUAAACUGAAUAGUAGAUGGCCUGAUCCACUUAUGAGUGAGUGCUAGUUCAUUGAUUGAUACAACUAAUUCACAUUAAAUAAUAUAUAUUACAUUUUUGAACUGUUAAACUAGAAAUAAGAUUAAGGAUAAGGGAACUCUGUAUUAACUUCACUUUUCCUUAUUAGUAUCAAAAGUUUCUCGUUUAGGAAAUAGGAAGUUUUGAAGGACUAAUAUUAUCCUUUCUUUUAAAUUGAACUCUAUCUAAUGGCUGAUUCUAUUUAUGAAUCAAUCCCUUAGGUGCAUUAUUUCCAUAGGUUCCAACAUUGGUAACAAAAUCUAGCUUUCUCGCUUGAAUUGGCAUAAUUCUAUACUUCCCUCAUCUUAUCUAUCACGGAGGCCGCUCCCACCUUAUCCCUUAUAUCCUCAUUCUAAUCUUUAUCACUCCGAGUAUGAACACGCAUCCACCUCAAUAUCCAUAUCUCUGCAACAUGCAUCUUCUAGACAUGAGAGUUCUUGACUGGCCAACUCUCAUUUCCAUACAACAAUUUACAUACACACUCUAUAUAAAUACACACAUACAUAUAUUGGUGGAAAAAUCAUCAAUAGAUGAAACUUAAACAAUACUCUCUCUAUCUCAAUUAAUGUGACAAUUGGAUUUUAUCUUUUAAAUUGUUAAUUAUUGUGAUUUACCUUUUCACAUAAUUUUCAAAUAUAUAAAUUUUAUAUAAAAAAAUUUAAAGCUUCUGUAUCCGAAUUUACUGUCAAAUUAUAGAAGUUUGAAUCUCAAAAUUUCAACUAAUGCCACGUAAAUUAAAUCAACCCUAACACUCAAAAAAGCUACAAAUAAUUCAAACAUAGAAAGUAAAAAAGAAGUAGAAAAAACCUUGAUAUAUAUAUAUAUAUAAAUAAAUUAUAUAUUGAUUUGUAAUUGGUUGCUGUCACUUCUGAGCAAAAUCGUGCACACUCAAUGGAUGCUGUUACAAGUAAUAUUGGUGUACAAAUAACUACCAAAAACAAAGGGAAAAUGCCAAGAGUUGGGGUUGAUGCAUCGCGAGUUGGUUCAGGCCAAAAAAUAAUGGAUUCAGGACACAAACUAAUGGAUACAUCUGAUGUUGAAGAUGCUGAAGAUUCUGGACAGCAUGUUUUGCAAGUUGAAACCAAGAAUGCAACUAAAAAUUGGACACUAGUUGCACACAAAAAUUCAACUAGUAAUCGGAGCCUUUCCCGACUAAUCAAAAUAAUUCUCCAUGUAGUGAAAAGGGUGCGACUGAAAAUUUUCAUGACAGUGAGAAGAGGCAAGAUAUUAGUAAUGCCUCAAGAUACCUAUUUUGUUCGAAUAGCUUUGAUGCUUUAUCAAAGACUACUGGAAAGAAAGUAAAGUUAACAGAGAAUGACAACGAUUUGAUCUAAGAAAAGCAAGUCUCACCACCUACUUUGAAUAGCAAAUUAAGUCCAAAAGCUCCCAUAUUUGUGCCUAAAUGCGUGAUUGUAAAGAAGAAUGAGACAAGGGCCUUAGUGUCAGAUACAAUUGAUUUGAGCGAGGAUUCUCUUGAUGAAGAUGAGGAAGACAAUAUGCUUGAUUUGGGCGAGGAUUCUCUUGAUGAAGAUGAGGAAGAUAUGCUGGACAUAUGCUUUGACAGAGUGGCUAGGGAAGGAGAUAUAUCACCUCGGCAACAAAUAAGUAGAAGCAACAAAAGCAAAAAGAAGACACAUGGAAGGCAACAUAGUUGAGACGGUAAAAUGACUGAGGAGUUUGUUCCAAGGCACCUACCAAUGCGACAAGCAAAGCAGAACCAUUUGACAGUAUCAAUUGGUUCAACAAGAUCCAAUAAAUCCAUAAAGAAAGUAUGAAUUAUCAAGUGUUGUUGGAUAAGUUUGAAGAAGAAGACAACAGAAAAAUACUUUAAGUUACUUUUGAUGGGCAAUCAAUCUUUUUUAAUUCAUGCGUUUGUAAUUGAAAGUUUGAGGUUGAUAACUCAACUUUCUUCUUGAUUGACAUAUUUUUACAUUAUUUAAGCAUCCUAGUUUGUAAUAUCAUCAUGGAGUGUAUUACAAACUUUGUGGUGAUCAGAAAAUACUUAGUUCUCUCUAGCUCUUAUUUUCUUCAUGCUUGUUAGGUAGUAGACGUUAGGUACUUCAUUAGGAUUAGUACGGUAAGGCCUACCCCCUUGCUUGCACUUAUCCCUAUUGAUUUUUUUUAUGUUUAAUAAAAGGCCACUAGACACUGUCUAGUGGUAAAUUUGCGGGAAAAAAAAACCUUGAGAUAAUAUGCCUUGCGAAUUUCCUCUUGAGAUGCUAAAAGACUUACAUCAAGAACAUCAUAAUACUCUGUCUCUUUAACCAUUUUCUUUUCUUUUUCCAAAAUCCCAAUUAACAAAAAACUACUCUUUUACCUCUUCCAAUACUCUGAUUACCUUUUUUUGCGCUUGUAAAAUUUUAAAGUAGGAGCGGAAAACCAUUUGACUGUAAGGAAAAGAAACAAGCCGUGUUGAGAAUUGAUUUAAAAUCUUUUGUUUAAGUUUACUGCUUAGGAUAAGUUUUACAGUAGGUUGAAUAAGUCUUUUACUAGAAUUGAAAUAGUCUUUAUUAGUUACUACUUUUCUGGUAGUAUUUAGUCAAGUGGCGUCUAUUAUCUUUCUGAGUUUGUUAGCCUAUAAAAGGCGUAGAGACUUCUAGUUAAUAAUCUCUCUUCUUCCUACAAGCCAAACAAAAAAAAUGAUGAGUGAUCCAAACAAUUUUAAGCUCAAACACAAUGUUAUAAGAAGGUAAGAUAAGAAAUAAUGUCACAAUAUUACAGGUAAAUCGUUUUCUUUUUCCUGUUUUUCAAUUUUUAUCACUAUAAUAUUAUGUAUGCCAAAUCUCUAAGAUGAGGCCUCAUCCAUUGGUAUGGUAUAGAAGUAGCGUUCAAUUUGCUCGACUGCAUUAUCCUCGCCCUGAGUCUCGUUUCCUCUCUUUAUUGGAACUAGGCUCUCCUUGUAAUUGAAAACCCAACAGCCAGCAAUGAAAAGGUCCAGCUGAAAUCCAAGAUCUGUAACUUGCCUUGUUUUAGGGUCAUAUAGCACCAGCUGUGAAGUUUCUGUGAUCUCGAAAACCAUCUUAUCGUUAUCCCAGAUGUUGAGAGGCCAAUGAGCAUCUAUAUGAGGUUGAAUAGUAAGAACUUUGGACCAAUUUCCCUCUUGUUUCAUUACCCACACAUUGUAUAUGGAUGUCAUUGGUUUGCCAGGGUCACCGGUUAACAUAGCAAGUAAGCCGCCAUGCAAUGUAAGUGUCCCCCAAUGUUCACUUGGAAUAUGUGGGACUUGUAUCUCCCCAAACUGUUCGCUGUCCAUGUCAAAAGAGCGAAUCGUGUAGAUAUCAUCAAGGCCCCUACAAAGCCAAUAAUAAACCCUGUUGAGAUAAGUGGCAUCAAGGGGUGCAGACAAGGUAGAACUGGGAGGGAAUUCAGGAGUAAGGUGUUUCCAUGAAUUGUUGCAUGAGGAAUAGACACAGGCAUAGACACGAUUAUUAGCACCUUGUCCCGG